AGUACGGGGGGUCCGGUGAACCAGGUGCAACGCCGGCGUGUGUUCCGAUUUCAGAGGAGGCCUGGGGGCUGUAUACGUUGUACUCACCUUUUGGGCCGGCUGAAUCGGCCAUGUGAGUGCCGACACACGUUUGGUUACCCAGACGAAGUCGUCCUGGCGGUGGAUGACGAGCGACGUCGCCUGGGGAAGCCGCCGACCGCUUGGGUAGACAGCUAGAGGAGGCCAGGGAGGUGGCCCACGAUCAGGAUCUGCGCAUUAGAGAGAUGGAGCAGAGCUUCAGAGAUGAGGAGGAAAGGACGGACGCUUUUCGUCUUCAACUCCACGACACACACCAGCACCUCUUCACUAUGAAGGGGCAGCUGAGGGAGCGGGCCCGGGGGAUCUUGCUGGACUGUGAGGUCUUGCUAGAUGUGACCGCGGAGACACCACCAUGAGCUAUCGCUCCAGAACCAAUGGAUGAGGUGGAUACUCUAGGCUCUGUUGGGGAUUGGGGCCCUAGGGGGGCACGUAGGGCCGCUGUUUGACUUUUCUUUUGAAUAUCUGACAUGCUUUGGUUAUAGCUAGUAGGGCUGGUUUCUUUUGUUAUCUGGUUGGUUGACUGGAUUUUGGAGCCGAAGUGCUCAUGCAUUUAAUGGAUUUUGUACGACGGGAUGUCGGAUAACUUGUAUAUCUUUUGGUGUGACCUUGUAAAUAUAUGUAUAUAUUUGAGUACAAUCUUUUGGGUUUAUCUUUUGCAUGUCUUUCGUGUAUGUACAUUUAUAUUUUGUGUUCUUUAUUUUGUUCAUAUCUCGAAUAAUAAGUACACAUUAUGUUUCAAUUUAUAGACUUUUGAACUUAAAUGGACUCCGGCGGUCGAGGUAGAGGUAGAGGGCGAGGACGAGACCCUGAUGGGGAAAAUGAGAAUGAGUCGGAUUAGGUAGCUACAGCCAUCCAGCGAAUGGCUGACCUGUUAGAACGAAUGGUUAACCAACAGGGUCAGGGCCAGGGAAAUAAUGCCGGAAACCCUGGAAAUAAUGCGAGUAAUCAAGAGGGAGAGGACCAUGCCUUAGAACGGUACCAAAAGUUUACACUCCCGAAAUUUGUAGGCGGGCCCAAUCCUGACUUAGCGGAGGGUUGGUUGGACCGUAUGUUAGAUAUAUUUGCCGCGCUUGGGUAUUCAGAGGAACGGUAAAUAUCUUUUGCUGUUUUUCAAUUUGAGGGGGCCGCCCGAACUUGGUGGAAUGUGAUCAAGGUUAAGUGGGAGCGGGAACAAAACCCCUGGACGUGGGUCAAUUUUACUCGAAAAUUUAAUGAAAAAUAUUUGCCACCCAUUAUACAAGAGAGGCGGGAGGAUGACUUUAUCCGCCUGCGCCAAGGGGCAUCUAGUGCGACAGAAUACGAAACCCAGUUUACGAAACUUUCUCGUUUCGCUCCGGAUUUGGUGCCAACGGAGCAAAAGCGAAUCCACCGCUUCGUUCAAGACUUGAAUGUGGAAAUUUAGGAGGCACUAGCAGCUGCUCAGUUGGACACCUUUAACCAGGCACUAGAAAAGGUACAAAGGAUUAAGUUGGCUAGGGGACAAGUAAAAGUCUUCCAUGACCGGAAAAGGAGGCAAUCUAGUUCGAGUAAUUUCACGGUCAGACAGAGCUCGAGAAACGAGCCACCCUCUAAGAUAGGUCGAAGAACGGGUGGUCCACGACCCGUAGGAACCCUAAACCGAGGUAAUUUUGGAAGAGGUUAAGUAGGGCAAGAGCCCCAAAGAGGUGCCCAGCGUGGAGGCUCAACUACAGGAACAAAGCAGAUCUGUAGUUUCUGCGGGAGCAAUCACACAAACGAGAACUACUGGAAGAAUAUUUCGGUACGAAAAUGUUUUAAAUGUGGCAGUACAGAACAUCUGAUUGCCCAAUGCCCAAUAUCCGAAUUGAUCGGCUGAGGAAAAAUUUGUCCAUCUAUUUUUGCAAGAACAAAUGCUCCACCAGGCAACACCUUCUUGACAAUAAAAGGGCCCUAACUUGGGGCAAACUUACCUUUGGCCUCCUCUUGCACUGGCAAAAUUUGUUUCAACACUUUACCUCCUUCUGAAUAGUCACGACUUGACCCUUUUAUGGUAAGCAUGGGCCAAUUCUUUUGAUAAUAUUGACCAUGACAGACUACAUUUAGCUGCUUCUUAUCAAGCAACAACUGAUUUUUAUUUCCUUAAUCUUGAUCUCAAUUCGGCUUGAGUUUCUCUUUAUACCAUUCGGAUCUCUUUGAAACAUUUUCGAAUGUCUCUUCGUUACUCCACUCAUUUUGAAAUCCAAAUUCACAUUCGUGAGAUAUCGAGAUUGUUGCCAUCAAAUUUCAGAACAGUGAUAUCCAAAGGUCAGAGGAUUUUAUUCUUGGUCAUCUAGAAAGAAUGCGUAAAUAAUACAGUAUAUAUAAAAUUGUACAUUUUAUUGAAUUUAGAUACAAAGAUCAAACUUAAUAGCAUGUUACUUGUUAAACAAGACGUGUUUUGAAAAGCCACUUGAUUCAAAACUAUUUACAAAAAUAUAAUUAAACAAAAGACGCACGCAUGAAUGAUUUUCAUGAAUUUUAACCAAAGACAACUCUCCAAAUUUAUCGAAAUUCCCUUCGAGAGGGAAUAUGAUUUGCAAUCUAGUUUUGGAUGGCUCCUUCGAGCACAAAAGGCUUCUGGACUAUUCCGAUUACUUCAUUUUCUCCCACAAUGUAUUUGGCAAGCUCUUCAAAACUCAUCGUCAGUGGUAACGGCUCUUAAAGUAUUUUUAUGCUCAAAAAAAGGGUUCUUACUGACAUUCGGCCUUGACUCACCUUUUUUUCUUUAAAAUUAUGUCCCAAUAUUAAUCAUGUCUUGAAUCUUAUGCUUUAGUGCCCGAAAAUUGCCCGUAAAGUGGCUAGGACUUCCAGAGUGAUAUGCACAAAUGGCUUGAGGGUUAUAUAGUAGGAAUGCCCUAGGGUAGGUUUUAGGAGGCAUAACACCAAUUUUUUCAGCAAUUUUGAAUUUUUCGUACAAUUGAUCGAUGGGUCGGCUCAAGUUGGUGAAGGUUCGAUAUAAGGUUGGGUUUCAGAUUUCAUUGUUUAGAGGAUAAGUUUAAAUUUGAUUGUGUGGUUGAAUAGGUCUUGGAUUAUAAGAAGGGCGAGGUUGAGUUUGAAAGUUAGGUAGAGAAAUAUGAAAUGGUGUUGUGGGUGUGUUUGGGUAAUUUGGUCGGGGUCGAGAAUGGUUAAGAGUGGUACGAUAAACAGGUUGAGGGUGUGGAUGAUAUAGGUAAUGGGAUGUGUAGGUGGGAUAAUAAUAUGGUUCUUGAGAUUCAAAUGGCAUAUUCAGACUAACGGGUGGAUAAUUUUGGGGAGCUUGCAUGUAAGAAGGAUUGAUUUGGAUAUUGGGUGUAGAGGUAUGCGGUAGGCCAUGAGUGAGAUAGGUUAAAGCUUCCUCUGGUGGGUUUACAAAAUAUGGAGCAAAAAGGGUUUGAUUAUGAGAUUGGAUAAUGGUUGAGGUUCAGGUUGACUAGCAGGGAAGGGCUCAUGUUGAAUUCUGUUAUUGCUACCAGUAACUAACUGAUCAAUCACGCGCCGUUGUGCGGUCAUCUCCAUGCUUAACUCAUUGAAUUUGUUCAACACUUCGCUCAGUUGAGCUCUCAGAUUUGCAAGGUCAGUUGUUGGCGUUGUUAUAGACUUUUCGAAUGAUUUAGGAUAUGUACUCAUGUUUACACUAUUUCUCGAAACUCGACUACAUGAUCGUGUAAUGAUGGGGGUUCUUUGUGUAGCUAUAUUUGCAAUUACCUGAAAAUUUAGAAAAAAUCCUAUUUAGAUUCCCUUCUUGGUUAACUGCUGACAAAAAGAAAGAAAAAGAAAAAGAUGGGAGGUAGUAAAAAAUUAAAGUAAUUCGGAUGUAUGUCCUAUUGGGGAGCCCUUUUUGUACAAAGGGUAGGCCUAACAUUAGAAUACAAUCCUCUAGGGUAGGCAUCAUACAAUACAUGAUAAAUGUGAUCAACUUAUUGAUAUCCGAGUAAAAAAUAAUUUGAAAAAUUUAGCCAAUUGGAGUGGCAAGACACAUUUGUCCUAACAAAAUGAGAACAAACUCCGAAUGGAUUGAUUACUUUGAUUGACACAUAAAGUGAUGUUAAAAAAUCAAUUUGUUGUGAAAGAACCUACUUUUGAAAGGAUUGCAAUAUCUCGACUACAUUUUCAGUGAACCUUAGAUCGCAACUCUAAAAGAGAAUAAACGGGUCAAAUGGAUCGGAUGAAAUUGAUGAUUUAUUAAAAAAUUGACUGAAUCACCCUAAAAAUAGGUAAACUGGUCAAAUGGAUUGAAUGAAAUUGAUGAUUUAUUCAAAAUCAACCGAAUUGUCCUAAAAAUAAGUAAACUGAUCAAAUAAAUUGAAUGAAAUAAAUUGAUCAAAUAGAUCAGAUGGAGUGAUGAUGAUAUAUUCAAAAAUUGACUGGAUUGUCCUAAAAAUGAAUGAAUGGAUUGAGUUAAUGAUUUAUUCAAAAAUGUCAAAAUUGUUCUAAAAGUGAAUGAAUUGAUCAAAUAGAUGGAACGAAUAAAUUGACAAAAUAGAUUGGAUGAAAUUGAUGAACAAAUAUAUCAAAUGGAUUGAAUUAGAUUGUCCUAAAAAUGAAUAAUCAAUUUAAAUGGAUUGAAUGGAAUUGAUAAUUUAUUCAAAAAUCGAUCAAAUUGUUUGCCCAUUGGUAGUUUCAAAAAUUCAUUGCGAUGUAUUAGUCUAUGAGUCUUCUAAAAUCAAGAUUUAUAUUUACCAUCUCAACAAUGAGGAAUUAUUUGUGAAUUUCUUUAUCUUAAUGUCCUUUAUGCCAGGGAAUUUUGCCAACCAUGUUAAAAUGGUUAAAAGAUGAUUGUUAGAUGCUCAUAUUCUCAUGUACAGAAAUUGCUCUAUCAUCUUCGAGACUAAUAUCAUUAUGGAAGGGACCAGAUUCUACCUUACCUUGUGCACUACCUGUGAGGACACGAAUUUUUAUUUUUGCGUACUUUUAUUUUAUUUUACUGGCUUAUUUAAUUAUUUAUUUAUCCGUUUAUUUCGAAUAAUUUAUUUCAUCCAUUUUAAAUCUAUUUGCAUGGAACAAUGUCUUAUUUAUAUUCUUAAAAUAUUUUAUUAGCAAAUUUAAAUUUUCUAUGGUUCGUUUAACAAGAAAUAUCGAAUGCACGUUUUUCGAGGUAAAUUUGAUCCUAGAGUACAUUAAUCUUGGAAAAUAGUAGACUAAGAAAAGUUAAUUGAGGGAUUAGAUAUAAGCGAGCUAAAUUAAUCUCAAUUAGGAGCACUAAUUGCUCACUAAUCGAUUGUUGAAUUUUGGGCACCAAGAACACCUUUAUAUCAUUCUUCUUGUCACUCAAUCAAAUCACCCAACUACCACCCAAAACCUUUCUUCUUCUCCUCUCCUUGGCCGACUUCCCCUCCCUCAUUUCCCCACAAAAAUUUCAGCUCCCUUUCUUCCAUUUUUGCUCCAAGAAGACUCUCCAAAUUUGCUUCUUUUCUUGGUUCUUCGUACAAGCUUGGAAGGUGACUUGAACAAGGAAAAAACCUUGGUGAUUUGAGAGCUUAUAUACUAGUGCUUGGUCUUCACUUUUGGAAGCAAGGUAAUCAUCCAAAAACCCUCAUCUUUUCCUCUCAACUAUUAGUAGUUAGUUAGUUAUAGUUAGUUAGUUGUUGGGUUGUUGAUGGGUUCACAAGAACAUUGACACUAGGUAGAGGAUUUGAGAUGACUUUAUAGGUAGUGGCCUUGAGGAUUUUAUAUGUUUACUUGCUUGUUUGAUGCUUAUUUUGAGAAGAUAUGGCUUAGUUUUAGUUGGAAAAGAAAACUAGAAGAUGAAGGGUGCUUGCUAUCCGAAUUUUGGCUUGUUGAAUCCCUCAUAUUAAUUUCGAAUUUUGAUGUUUUUUUGGUGCUAUAAUGGUUGUUAUAUGAUGGUGUUUAUGUUUGUUAAAUAUCUCCCAAAAAGCUUUACAAUUGGUUGAGUUAAAGUAUGUAAGUGCCCGGUGCAACCCAAUGAGUACAAACAAUAUCACAAUGAUGCACAAAGAUAUAUCAAAUUUAAGCACAAUAAAGAAAACUUAAUUAAAGAGAAAAGAUAAGAAAUGCAAACCAAAUAUGAAUCCAAUAGCUUCUUCAAUAGAUGGCGAUGCUAACCAAGAUGUACAAGUGAAGGCUCACUCCUUCCUCACCCCAAACACACUUUGGUUGAGCCAAGGAGUUUUACAACUAUUCUAGUUAACCCUCAACAACCUACACUUGAAAGAUCACUCACCCAAUUAAGAACUAUUUUAUACAAAUGAGGCAACUUUCACCAAGGUUUUACCACUCCAAGUGAUAGGUUCGCCUUCACCAAGGUUUUACUCCUCCUAGAGAGUAACCUUCACUUGAGCAACCUCACAACCCAACUUUCCCAACCCCUUAUACAACCAACAAAGAAUCUUUCUACUCAAAAAUCUCACUUGUAAGCUUGUAUUUUGUGUUGGCAAAAGUCUUUAGUCUUCUUGUGCUUUGGGGUUUUUAUAGAAGGUGAGAAAUGGCUCCAAAAGACUCUCCAACGGUCAAAUAUUAAAUGCUGUCAAAACUAGCCGUUGGCCUGUCGGACGUCCGAACCCUGCGUCCGAACGUAGUCAGAGAGUCAUCAAAUCUUUGCGAAAUUUCUCGGACGUCCGAUGCGAUCAAUGAGCGUCCGACAGAGUUUUCUUCUUGAUGUUCUUCAUCCUUUCGGACGUCCGAUAGCGUCCGACAUGAGUGCCCUGUUUUAGCUUCUUCUUUUAUGCCACAAGAAUCUGUUCUAACAAAUUACUCACAUAAAAACAUUAGCUCAAAUCUACAUUUUUGUUUUGUUAAUCAUCAAAACCCAAGGAUUGAUCGACCAAGGUCAACAAUCUCCCCCUUUUUGAUGAUGACAAACAAAAUGAAAUUUCUUUUAUCAAAUAAGUUCAAAUAAAGCUCCCCCUUAGAAAGUGCCAACAUACAAAGAAAUUUCAAUAAAUCCUACUCCCCCUUUUGGCAUCAAUCAAAAACAAACUCCCCAUUAUUUUUCAAAUCAAGACCAUAUUGAAUAUCAAAAUUUUCAAUUGUACUUACAACAUAUAGCACUUCUUGGAUCAAAUCUUCAUGAUGUACCUAAAUAUGAGAAAUUUCAUUUGGUACCCUUUCUUUAUAGGGUUCUUGGGAGUUAAUACGAUAUGAUCUAGCAAUCCACAUGGAUUUCACGCCUUUUCUCAUAUUUUUCUUUACAUAGCAAUCAUUUUGCAUAUGUCCAAAUUUGCAACAAAAGUGACACAUGAUAGAAGUAUUUUGCACAUAGGUGGAUUUAAUGCAACUAAUUUUCUUACUCUUAUCAUAGCAAACUUAUUUGUGCCUUGAAAAGAUUUGCUUUUCUUUUGUUUGAGAAAACUUUUGUUUUUCAUUUUGGAGAAACUCGUUCAAGUCAUUAAUUCUUUUCUUUAACAAAUUUUGUUCCUCCAACAUUUUUUCAUAAAACUUUGUUUUCUCUUCCAACUUCCUUUUCAAAUUAUUUUUGCAAUCAAAAACACCUUUUUUAUUUUUUAAUCAUCAUUUUCCAUUCUCAAACAUUUGUUUUCUUGAAAAAGUUUGGAGUUUUCUUCCAACAAAUCAUUUAUUUUUGUUUUCAAAUCUUUAUUUUUAGCAUAAGAUUUUCUCAAACUUUUAUGCAUUUUAAUCAUAAGAAUUUUCACAUCAUCAUCUUCAUUAUCUUCAUCACAAGAAGAGUGAUAAGAACUUACCUCAUCUUCUCCAACGACCAUUAGUGCCAUUUGGGCCAACUCUUCUUUUUCUCUUUUUGAAUUGCAUUCAUCCCAUGUAAUUUUGCAAUCUCCUCUUGAACAUCUCUUGUUGAAGAUCUUUUGAAACUUUUGAUGUGAGGAGUUAUAUCAUUGUCCACUUCCAUGAUUUCAUUACCCAUGAAGGAUGGGUUAUCCCCCACUUGAGAUGCUUUAAAAGCUAUGCCUCUCUUAUACAUUCUUGCAUUUUCUUCCUCUUGCACUUUGAAUUUCAGCUUUAAUUCAUAAGAGGUUAGGGUAUCCACAAGAGAUUCAAUGGACAUAGAAUUUAAAUCCUUUGCCUCUUCUAUAGCAUUUAUUUUGUUUUCCCAUUCUUUUGGCAAGGCAUUCAAAAUCUUUCUAUUUUUCUCACCCAAAGAAUAUUCUUUUCCAAGCAAUUUAAGAUCUUCAAUAAUGUCACAAAAUCUACUACACAUCUUAUCAACAUUUUCAAGAGGAUGCAUUUUGAAAAAUUCAUAUUGAGAAACAAGCAAAGAUUUCUUUUGUUCUUUAAUAUCUUGGUUACCUUCAUGAAAUACACACAAUUUAUCCCAAAUAUCUUUAGCUGAUUUACAACCUUUAAUCCUACUAGAUUCAUUUACAUCUAAUGCAUUGUACAAUAUACACAUGGCCUUGGCAUUCAAAGAAAGGUAUCUCUUGUCUUUUUCAUUCAAUUCUUGUCUAGUCUUUAAUCUACUCAAAUUGGUGGUAGAGUCAACUAUUCUAGCUUCAUAAGGACCAUCUUCUACCACAUACCAUAAUUCAAUAUAAACGGAUUGUAAGAAAAUCAUCAUUCUUUGUUUCCACAUGCUAAAAUGAGAACCAUUAAACAUAGGUGGUCUAUCAAUAGAUUGCCCUUCUAAAAAAGAAACUUUUAUGGUUGCCAUGAUCUUUACUCUAAGCGGUUAAGCUUGAUCAAAAGAGACCAAGCUCUGAUACCAAUUGUAAGUGCCCGGUGCAACCCAAUGAGUACAAACAAUAUCACAAUGAUGCACAAAGAUAUAUCAAAUUUAAGCACAAUAAAGAAAACUUAAUUAAAGAGAAAAGAUAAGAAAUGCAAACCAAAUAUAAUCCAAUAGCUCUUCAAUAGAUGGCGAUGCUAACCAAGAUGUACAAGUGAAGGCUCACUCCUUCCUCACCCCAAACACACUUUGGUUGAGCCAAGGAGUUUUACAACUAUUCUAGUUAACCCUCAACAACCUACACUUGAAAGAUCACUCACCCAAUUAAGAACUAUUUUAUACAAAUGAGGCAACCUUCACCAAGGUUUUACCACUCCAAGUGAUAGGUUCACCUUCACCAAGGUUUUACUCCUCCUAGAGAGUAACCUUCACUUGAGCAACCUCACAACCCAACUUUCCCAACCCCUUAUACAACCAACAAAGAAUCUUUCUACUCAAAAAUCUCACUUGUAAGCUUGUAUUUUGUGUUGGCAAAAGUCUUUAGUUUCUUGUGCUUUGGGGUUUUUAUAGAAGGUGAGAAAUGGCUCCAAAAGACUCUCCAACGGUCAAAUAUUAAAUGCUGUCAAAACUAGCCGUUGGCCUGUCGGACGUCCGAACCACCUGUCGGACGUCCGAACCCUGCGUCCGAACGUAGUCAGAGAGUCAUCAAAUCUUUGCGAAAUUUCUCGGACGUCCGAUGCGAUCAAUGAGCGUCCGACAGAGUUUUCUUCUUGAUGUUCUUCAUCCUUUCGGACGUCCGAUAGCGUCCGACAUGAGUGCCCUGUUUUAGCUUCUUCUUUUAUGCCACAAGAAUCUGUUCUAACAAAUUACUCACAUAAAAACAUUAGCCCAAAUCUACAUUUUGGUUUGUUAAUCAUCAAAACCAAGGAUUGAUCGACCAAGGUCAACAAAGUAGGGUUAAAGUGAGGUAGAAAUCUAGAAACUUUUCUGACCAGGAGACCCGACCAGUGUUCACAUUUUGGGUCACAAAGUUUUGUCUGGGAGUUGAAAUUGAGUGCUGUUUGUGGCAUCCAAAACUAGACUCCAAGAGCUUUUUGUCAGUAUGAAAUGCAACCCCAAAUUUGUUUCCUAUGAGCCGUAGCGAACCGGCAAAGAUGACUGAAUUUUCUCACUAUUUUCAUCCGAGAAAUAGUCCUAGCUGCAGUUUGUAGCUCAAUUUCGCCUAUCUUUCAAAACGAAUUUUAAGACAGUUUCUUCUAGUGAAUUGUACAAUUUUGAAUAUAGUUUUCAACACCUCAAACCACACUAAAUUUUCAGUUGUGUAGCUCUAGUUAAGAUCAGAUUUUGAAACUCUGCCAAGUAAGUCAAAACUGGAAAUUUCGUAAACAAGUUUCAAAAAUCAGUUUUCUUAAAACCAUUAUAUCUUGAUGUAGAAAGAUCCGAAUUGAGUUCUGUUUGUUGCAUUUGAAACUAAAUUUGGAAUUCUAUUAGUGUAUAAAUUUCAAGGGUUGAUUCCAUUUCUACGAAUUUUAUCAAACUUCCAAACUUGGCUGAAAUUGCAAGCCUGUUUUGCUCUAUCCUGUCUGGAACAGUGAAUUUGAACUAAAAUUUGAAUGAUUUCAAAUUGAAUUCUGAGAAGAGUGUCUUUUAGAGAGUUUUAGUUCAUUGAGUCUAGUUUCCAACGGUAUAAACUUUUCAAUUUUUGGACUUAUAGAACUCGAGAUACAAUUUUUUCAAGUAGUGUCACACCAAGCUGGAAAUUUUCUAGUUUCAACUAAAGUACUCUUUUAAAACACUUUCAACCUCCCUUUGAGAGUGUAGUCCGUUUUAAGUUUAACUUCAUGGUUGGACACAAGGUCACUUGAAUUUUAAACCUUCAUUUUGAAUCUUGAUUUCCAAAGGAUUAAACCUCUCUUGAUGUAUUUUCUUGGUUGUUAACUUCUUUGGUUAAUGGCACCCCUAUUCUUAUGCCUUCGAUUCCCAUGAAUUUGAAUUUCAAAAAGAGAGCGUUUUAACUAGAGUAAUUCUUGGAGAAUUUCACUAGUUUUAUACUGAAAAUUUGAAACCUUUAGCUUUGACAUUUGAUAUGAAUAUGAGUGGAAUUUGGAUGAGUUUUGACUCCAUUAGUUUGGAAAAUGUGAACAUUCUUUAUAUUCUAACUUUUGGACAUGGGAUUAAAAGUUUUGAAAGAUGGGAACCAUCUACCCUUCUUUCUUGAUUUUCAUGCCGAAAGUAUAUAUGAUACUUUCUUUUGGAAUUGAAAUUACUUACCACGACUUGAAUAAAAAACGAGUUUUGAGUUCUCUUUGAUCAAAUUGAUCAAGGCGUUGGAUUAGCUCCUAAGAGCUCCUGUAUCCUUCUUGUGUGUUAAUUCCUACUUGUGCACUUAAAUGAAAUGUCAUGUUUAAAGUUGUUUUUAAGCAUGCUAUUCGAUUAAUUGGUUCUACGUGCUUACUUGCUUGCUUGUUUUCUUGGCCUCACUGAGUCUUAGCUCAUCCCUUUAAAUUUGUUCUUCCUAACAGGCUUUGGAGGUGGAAAUUGGAGUUCCUAGACUACCGACUUAGUGGAUGCUAGUAUACCUUUUGUAUGAACUUUUGGUGGCUCUUAAACUGUAAUUUUGUUAUUGUUGUUUGGUGGAUUGUAAUCAUAACUUUUAACUUAGAAGUUGUACUUGUAUAUUUGAAGUACUUCUUAGUUAAGUCGAUGGUUAAUUUAUAAUCUUUUUAAAACUUGAAUGAGUGUGUGAGUCCUGACGAGGGUUGGACAGGCAUUCCGCUGAUACCUUAGGGUUCGUCUUAGGAAGAGGUAGGGGUGUCACACUACCCCUUUGGAUGGUACAAGAAAUAUAAAUGUGCAAGUCUUAUUGGAUUACAUAUCUGAGACAUAAUGUGGAUUAUUCCUAUCAUGGGAUCCCCUAUGCGUCAUUUCCUUCUAAAGUUUAUGCAUGAUGUCAAUUUAUCAAAAUAAUUUAAAAAUGAAAACAUGACCUAAAGGGACCCUUUGUGUGCCAGGGUAGGCCUAAAAUGAUGUGCAACUAUUAACAUACAAACGCAAUACAUUGAAAUUUAAACGUGCAAUAACCUAUCUAAGAGGGUAGGUUCUAAAAGAGUAUCAUGCCAGAACUCUUAUUUUCUAGUGUUGGUGAAUGCAAAAGGCGAGAAAACAAGGAAAUGUUAGUUCAACAAAUAACACAUAACACGUUAAGCAAUUAGAUGAUAUAAAAGACGAGAAGAAAGAAAAAUAAGGAAAAAGAGGUGGAAUCCCUCCCUUCAUGUCUAGUGUUCCUAGUUGGUACGAUCGACUCUAUCUUAGGUGAUUUUUAAUAUGGAUGCAUGAGGUUGGACUCUGUGAGGACCCAAAAAAUUUCUUAUUUUUAUCGAGUGUUAUUGGUUUAUUUAAAUACUUAUUCACCUGUUUUCUCCAAAUAAUUUAUUUCAACCAUUCUAAGCCCAUUCAUAUGGAAUAAUGUCUUCCUUAGGUUUUUAAAACGUCCCAUCAGCAAAUUUAAUUUUCGAAGGUUCGUUUAAGUGAAGAAUAAUGAGUACAUGUGUUUCAAGAUGAUAUUCUAUUUGAGAGUGCAUUUAUCUUGGGGAGUUAAGAAUGAUCAAUAGUAGAUUAAGAAAGGUUAAUUGAGGAAUUAAAGGUGAAUGAGUUCUAAGUAAGUGUAUACCGCUUGCGCGUCAACAAUUUUCCGAAAGACGCGCUGAUACAAAUUUAUUGGAGAUUUGAGGAAGUAAUACAAGACUCAUGUGAAGACUCACAAAAUUCAUCUAUUUUAAACUCCUAAUUCAAGCUCAUUUAAUUAUUUAUUUGGCCAAUUGUCCUGAAUAUUAUUUUCUAACCUCUUUAGACCUAAUUACAUGGGUCUAUAGUUUCGUUAUAUUUUUAAAGUGACUUGUUUCAAAAUUUAAUUUUUGGAAGCUCGUUAAGUGAAAAUAGUGAAUACGCGAUUGGAGUCAAUAAUCGAUUCGAGAAUACAAUAAACUUGGAAAAUUAGAGGCUUGCACAAUAGUUUUAAAAUAGGUGUUUUUAUGCUUAAGUAUUCAAGUGAUAGUUAUUAGUACUAUCGUUAUAAGAAUUUCUUGAAGGUUUCGCUUUAUCGCGCUUAAAUUGGAAAUACACAUUUUAACACGCGCGAUUUAAUUGAGGGACUUUAAACCCUUAUUUUGGGACAAUUAAGCAUGGAUAAUAUUUACAUGAAUAUAAGUGCAUUAGUGAAAUAAACUCGAGAGAAAUCGAGCACAAAACGCGUGCGCGCGCGAAGGAGGGUUGACUUUUGGACAAGUUGUAGCCACAUAUUGAAGCUUCCUCAAGAAGCCUCAUUUGGACCCAAACACUCUCUCUCUUCUCUCCAAGAUAGCCGGCCACCAUCCCAAAGAAGAACAACUCAAGUUCUUCAAUUUUCUUCACCUAAACUUGCUCCAAAUCUUCACCAUUUCACCUCAAAUUUCGACCGCACUUAGCUUAACACUUGGAGAUUACAUCUAGCUAAGAAAAGGAGCUGCAAUCCGUGGGUUUUCUUGAGCACAUUUGGACCGAAAUUUCUGUUUGGUUCAUCUAAACAAGUAAGCAACGAUCAAACCUUGGAAACUCAAUUUAUGGAAGUAGUAGAGCGCAUUUAAACUCAUGCAUGCAUAUGGGUAGCUUGGUUAUGUUGAAAAUUUGUUGUGUGGGCUCUAUGAACUCCCACUUUGGUUGGAUGGACUGACUUGGUGAUUGAUGAUGAAAUUAAUGUUGGUUUAGUGCUUAUAUUAGUGAAAUAAUGUUGGGUUAUUGAUACAAACUCAAGGAUGGUGCAAUGAGCAAAAGUGACCAUUUUACCUCUGCCCUGUUCGUGCACUUUGGUGCGAAAUUUUGAGGUUCUAAUGACUUUUUUAUGAUGUAUACAUGUCAUAUGGAUAGUGUAGAAAGUUUCAUUAAAAAAUAACAUGAUUUGGUUGGUCAAAUGUGUUGAUUUCCAAAGUACGGCAGAACUGGAAAAUUUUCCCGGAUUGCCCAGGCAGUCCUGUUGUUUCGGCUAUAACUUUUUAUUCCGAUGUUGAAAUCGAGUUCUGUUUAUGGCACUAGAAACUAGACAUUCUCAGCUUUCUAUUGGUAUAAAAUGCACAUCCUAAUUCCACUUGUGUGAGCCAAACCAUUCGUCUGAAGUUUGCUGUCCUGUUUCAUUGGUUCACUAUGGGGCAGAACAUGAACUACAAUUUGAUGCCCAAAUGUGGGCUAGUUGUGGACAGAUUUUGAAAAUGGUUUCUUCUGAGAAAUUGUAGAUUAAUGAAUUUUUUUCCAACGCCACCAACCACAUCCAAUUUCGAGUUGAAUUGAGUGAUUUGUGGCCAUAUUUCAAAACUGACUUCUUGAAGGAAAACUCUCCUUUUGGGCAGAAUUGUUACUAUUGAGACUUGUUAAUUCGAGAUUCAUGGUGUUAAUCACCCAAAAUUGUGUUUUGGAUACCUCUUAGACAUUUUCUAUGGAAAUGGACCAUGCUUGAGGUACUUUGUAAGCCAAACAUUUUGAAAACAGAAAACGAAACUCGCAAGGCAGAUUUGCCUUGAAAAUUUUGGAAUUUUGGUGAUUUCGUUAACCAAUUUUCCGUACUUAUUUAUCUAUGAAAUUUGGCAAAGAAAUAUUCCUUAUAUGGUAGUAUUAUACUGCUAAUUUUGGUGCUAUUCUGAGGCCGUUUCAUUGCUCAACUAAACUUCCAAAGUUCAUGACUUGAUGUUGGAAAACCCUUGUUUAACAAGGAAAUUUGGGUAACUUUGAGCUACCAUAUCUUGGUGCUCAAAAACUUUAAUUCUCAUUCUGCUUGCUCCAUUUUAAACUUUGAUUGCAACUCUAGUUGAGUUUCAAAUUUGAGAGGCUAGUUCCAAUUCUGUGCAUUUUGCCAAAUUUUCCAAGUUGGCGAAAAACCAACCCUGAAACUGCCUCGAUAGUCUAGAACAGAAACUUUGAGCCGAAUUUUGAAUAUCUUACGUUUGGAAUCAUAGAGAAUUGUCUUCUAAGAACUUUUAAUACUUUGAAAGAUGUUUUCAACGGUACCAAGUUUUCCAAUUUUGGACUUGUAGAGAAUGAGAUAUGAUUUUUGCAAAGUGAAUGUACCAAAUAUGAAAAUUCAUAACUUAAAGGAAAUAGAGUUUUUCCAAACCCUCUCUUUUCCUUUGAUAUCACUUGAUCGUUUUACACUCGAUUUCAAAGAUGUAAAUCAGAUUUCGCUUGUGUUUUAAAACCCCACUUUUGAGCCUUGAUUUAUGAAUAAUUAAGGUUCAUUUUCGUGAAAUUUUCUGAGAUCGCACACGUGUGCAAUCUUUCUUAAUAAUUGGGGUUUAUAAGUGAUUGUUUAUUAUUAAUUACCCAAGCUCGCGCGAGGACCCUCAAGAGGAUCCCACGGUGGAUGCUUGAAUUUCAAGUGCCCUUUUCUUCCUCAUUACUUAUAUUGGUGAGUGUCAAGUGUAUUAAUACUUGAUACAUGCUUAAUUGUUAUAAUUGUUUGGAGAUUUUGAAAAUGAAGGCGAGUGUGUACUUUACCGCACUCGUUCUUAUUUGAAAUGAAUGACUCAUGAUUCAAAUGAAACGAAUGAAUUAUGAAUGACUUAAUUGAAUGAAAUGAAAUGAUUGAAUGAAUGAAUGAAAUGUAAUGGUAUGCUAUGGCUGCAUACGUCGUUAGAGUGAAUCUCCUCGACUUAUAAAUGUUAACUGGGGGACGCCCAAACUCAUAGGCAAACCUUGGACUCGAGCCGACAUGGGCUUGGUCGGGAACCUUGGCGAGCCAUGAGAAUUACAUGAUAAGUUUGAUCUAUUGAAGAGAUUUUGCUUGGCAUACUCGUUGAAGUAUUGCCUUAUAAAUGACGUUCGGGCCCGGUGGGGGUAUGUACGGUGGACGGAUGGAAGUAAGUUGUGAUCUACGGAUUGGAAAUACCAACCCGGUUGACGGAAUGUCAUCGCGGGAAGGUAUACAAAUGACCUUGGCAAAGUAAGUGGAACUUAGCUCCUGAGAGCUACCAUAUCCUUGAAUUGUUUCUGUUUACAUCUUAUUGGAAUUAUCAAUUACUUGUACUUUAUCAAUUGACCUGUUAUUUGGGCUUGUUACUUGGACUAUGUGCUUGCAUGUGUGUUCUUGGCCUCACGAGCAUUUUGCUCACCCUGUAGAUUUGUUUUCCUUAACAGGACUGGACAUGGAAUGGACUUGGAGAAACCCCUUUUGAUGUACUUUUGGCUUAGGGUUUCUAAUGUAAUUUGGGCUAGACCUCUUACUGGUUGUACUUUUGGGAACCUAAUGUACGAUUUGGAUAUUUGAUGCAUCUGGAUGUUGUAUAUUUUGGGCAUUGAAGUAUCAUUUGGAUAUUCGAUGUAAGGCUCGGAUAAUUAUUAUAAAUCGUUAAGUUGAAGGCUUCCGCAUUCUUUAACUUGUCUUAUUUAGUGGUGAUGUCUAGUAUUGCAAUAAACUUGAAUGAAAAUUGGUUGAGUCCUGGCGAGAGUAGGGCAAGCGUUCCGCGGAUACCCUCUGGUUCGCCUUAGGGAGAAGUGGGGACGUCACAGACUCAUUAAUGUAUCUUGACUCGAUUACGGUUUCAGGCCCCCAAACCUUCAGACCAAAGGCGAAGGGUCAUCAAUCCCAAGGCCUAAGAGUCGGUGGUUCGAGUGAUCCCUCGGACAUUGCUACGCGCACGUCGUGCCAUGGACACAUGCCCAAGUAGAUCAAUUCUAAUCCUAAAUAGGGAAGGAUGGUAUGACAACCGCUAAAAGUAAAAAAGAAAUGAGGGGGGUUAUUAAGUAAAACAUAUGCACGUAUGAAGUGCUCCUUUUGAAGGGAGAAAAUUAGGCACCAUCAAAUGCGGGUGAAGGUUUUAGGGUGGUUGUCCCCCCUCCCCAAGAUGCAAGUGCGAUAAACAUAAGUGAAUGAAAGAAAAUAAAACACAUUAUUCACAUAAACGGAUAUCGAGACAUUUGUGCGUGUUUAGAUGCAAGAAAACCCUAAAAAGAUAAAAAUGCAAUCUAAAACCUCCAAAUCUGAUAUAUAACAAGGCUAAAAGAAGAAAAAAAUUGACUAAAUCAAAUGCUCGGACUCUCUAUAUCCCUAGUGGAGUUGCCAAGCUGUCGCACCCCAUUUUUUGAAUGAAAAAUAAAUUAUUACGAUUACGGGUUUUAUAAAAAUGAAUUUUUUGAUUAUUUUUUGAAUGAAAAUGGUUUUUGAUUUUUAGAAAAUAAAUAAAGAAAAUGGGACUUAAAGUGCAACGAUUAUGACCCAAAAAUAAUAGUUUAAAAAGGGUUUUUAAUGAAAAAUUUUGAUAUUGAAUUAAGGUGUACCAAGUCACCUAAAAUGAAUUUCAAAUAAAAAAAGUAGAGAAAACCCUUUUUAAACGAUUCCAAAUCCGCGAUAAUGAAGAGAAAAGGAAUCGAGAGUCACGGUUGAAGAAAGGGAAGACAAGGAUAAAAUCCAAUGCACCCUUUCAACCUAGUCAAAGCUAGUUGCAUGAUUUAGUCAAAAAUUUUCUUAAUUUAACCUAAAAACUUAUCACAUUUGGAUGUUACUAUAUGAAUGCAAACCUAGAUCUAAUAGUUAUUGGAAGGGUCAAUAUGUCUUUUCGAAUUUUAGUUGGUGCAAAUCACAUUAAAUUGCGACGCCCAAAAGUGACUCUUUAAAGAGGUCACGAAUAUGCAUAAUGAGACUUAAAAAAAUAGCAAAAUUAUAAUAUACAAAUAUACGUGACCUAAAAGAAAGGGAUGCAACAUAACGGAUACGGGGGCUAAGAUUCGUGACUCAAUUUUCCCUUUUAUAGAAGGAAUACGAGCGUGCUAAGGUUAGAAAGUCAUACUCGUCUAUAUCCCAUAUUUAAAGGGUUAAUUCGCUUAAUUUUGGUCAAGCAAAUGAUCAAACCUAUUUCUAAUUUUCUUAAAUGAGAUGCAAAUCUAAAUGUUAUGUUUUAUACAUAGGGAUAAGGGAUAUAUAAGGAAACAUCAUGUAAAGUGAUAAGGAUCUUAAAAAGUAAAAAAUAUGCAUGAAAUGUAGUGAUUUGUUACACAAACAUGAUCUAGCACGUAGACGGUCCCAAAGGGUCUAGCAUUGGAUUAGUCCAUAUCUACGAGUUCUCACUAACAUUGGACUAUUGAGAAAUCGAAAAAAGGGGCCACAACUAGCAUUGGACUAGUGUGGAAUCGGGAAAAAAUGGCCACAACUAUGACUGCAAACAAACCGAGCGAGUCAAGCUCGACUAGAGCUGACUCGAGUCGAAAUCGAGCUUGAACUCGAGCUCAAGAUAUUAAGCUUGUUAGCUCACGAGCCGGCUAGCGAGCUCAAGUAUAUAUAUAUAUAUUUUUUUUAUUUUAAGUAUAUAUAUAUUUUUUAUUUUAAGUAUAUAUAUAUUUUUAUUUUAAGUAUAUAUAUAUUUUUUUUUUUUAUUUUAAGUGUAUAUAUAUAUUUUUAUUUUUUUAAUAGUAAAAUUACAUUAUAUCCUUAAUAUUUUAUUAUUUAUUAAGAAAAAAAUAUUAUUUUAUUUAUUUUUAAAAAAUAAAAUAAUAAUUUUUAUUUUUUUUGAGCUCGAACUUUAAAUUGUCGGCUCGUCGAGCUCGAGCUCGAGUUCCUUAAAAUUAAGUACAGACUCGGCUCAAUUAAGCGAAAACUCGACUCGGCUCGGCUCAUUUGCAACCCUAGGCAUAACUAACGUUGGACUAGAGUGGUGACGUCAUGCAUUUAUUAUAAUCAACUAAAACAUAUAAAACAUAAUAAAGCAAAUGAACACAUAAAUCACAUAUAACACAUAACACAUAAGCAUGAUAUCUAGAUGCAAAAAUCCUAAGAAAGCGAGUAAACACGUAAACACUAGCAUGCAAACACAUAAACAAAUAAAAGCAAAUGAAAACCCAACUAUUACAUUCGGGGGGCCCUAACUACAAUCUAAAGGGGUAAAUAAUGAAAUAGAAUAAAAUAAUAGCCUAACUAUUACAAUUUGGCAUUUAAUCGCCUUUCAAAUAAUCAAAAUUAAACAAAUAAAUAUACAAAAUAAAACAAAUAAAGUGACUAAAAAUAAAUAAUAAAAAAUAUUAAAAAAACACGCAUUUACACACAUAAAAUCACAUAGGAGCACAUAGGGUCAAGUAAAAUUAAAAUAAAGGAGUAGGGUGUACCUCUCUUGAAUUGGUGACCUAAUGAAGUGAAAUUUCUCUUAUUUACCCUCCAACACGAAGAAACUAGUUAAGGCACCACUUUAAUUAAUAAAUAAUCAUAAAAGACAUAAAUAAGCAUGAAAUUGAAUAAUUAAAAUAUUUAAAUGAAAGUAAACAACCCAUAUUCAAGAAAUUGAAACAAGUAAGGUGUGACAGCCCCACCUCCCCCAAAGGCGGACCAAAGGGUUCGGCGGACCGCUUGCCUAACUCUCGCCGGGACUCAGUCACUCACUACAGUCCUCAAAUGAAUUACAAUAUAAAUAUCAAAUAUUACAUCAAAUUCUCCAAGAAUUACAUAUCAUAAGCGAAGUAGAAACUAGUUCCCAAGUGUGGAACUUACAAACAUAUCCGAUCCAGUCUAAACAUUCAAACAACCCUAGCUAUUACACAAGAGGAGUGCGAAUUCAAACUAUACAUGAAGUAUUCUAUCUAGUCACAUGAAUAUGUACUACAAACACCUCCUUCGCCUCGAGCCCUGUGGAGGGGGAAUAAAAUAUAUUUUUUGGGUGAGCUAGAAACUCAGCGAGUAACCAGUAAAAUCAGUAAUCAAAUAAGUUUCACAAUAGUUCAUUUCAAUGACGUCAUGAAUCAGUAAUCAAAUGUACGUUUAUUGCUCUUGUGAGCCAGUGAAAUCGUUGUACUUAAACAUCCAACGCUCAAAUAGAUCCAGUACAGUGAAACAGUAAUAGGGAGACAUUUGUGCUCCACAUAAACAGUAAACAGUGGUGGAGACGUUGGUUCUAAGCACAAGACUUCCCAAAAACUCAUUGAAACCAAAUCAUGUCAUGAACUCACAUGCAAGCACACAUGAUAUGCAAUCGAGUAAAUAAUGCAGGAAACAGUUUAUAAGUAGCUUUGGAAAUAGUUUGGGGUCACUCACCACCACGGCUCAUAAACCACUUCCAUCAUAGACAAUUUUGUGGAUUGAACUCAAGCCCUUCAACUAAAACUCAAAGCAAUCCAAACAUUCUCAAAGUUCAGGCAGCAUUUUCCCUUAAUUUCUUUAUUUUUCCAACCUACCAACAAUCACCCAUACCAUUUCAAUCAGCCACAAUUACACGUACAAAUCAUAGGCUAUUAAACACUCUUAAUAAGGGUCACAACACCCUUCACAUACAACCAUUAGAUAGCUCCAUAAUUAAUCACAACAAAGCCCCAAAUUAGAAACCCUAAAACUGAAACUUCCGCACAAACCAGAAACUUUCCACAAACAAUCAUAUCCAACGUAUACAAGCUCCAUUUUACACCACAACAAGCUAUCAUUCCAUGACCAAAUACCAUAAUCAUAUAAAAUCAGAAAAAUCCCCAAUAAAUCAGAAAUUUACCAUAAACUCCUUCAACCCAUGAAAUCUUCCACAAAACAAUAUAUUUAACCACUACGAACCACUAAUAUGCCAUUAUUAGAACAAAGAGGGAAUUUUUCCAAGCAAGGUACCUUAAAUCCUCAAAAAGAUGAUGACUUAGAGCUUCCCCUUCUAAGACUACUCCACCAACCUCUUUAAACCUCCUUAGUACACACUUGUAUGGAGUAGUUUCCAAAAUCAUCGGUGAAAUCUCAAGAUUUGAACAAAGAUUGAAACUAGAAAAAUGAAGAAAACUCUCUUGUUUUUCCUCUCUCAACAGCCGGCCAAGCCAAGAAAAGAAAUGAGGAAAAUAUCCUAGCCAAAACAAGAUAAGAAGGCAGAAAAUCAGCUGGUCAAAGUUGAUGGCCGACAUGUCACGUCACAAUCCGGCCGGAAUCUGGCCGAUUUGCGGUCGGAUUCUUGCCGGAUUCAAGGCAGUGGCAAAAAUCAUUUUUUUAAAACUCUAAGGCAAUCCGGCCAGGUAUCCAGCCAAAAACUGGUCGGAUUUCAGGCCGGAUUCGCCAAAAACAAAGCGAACCAGAAUUUUUUUUCUUUUUCUUCUUCCGGGCGUCACAUAAGGACCUAAUUGAAACAAUUAUAGAAGUUUGAGGGGUCAAAUUAUUAUUACAAAUAUUAAGGGUCUAAAUUAAAAUAAAAUAAAAUUAAGGGUUUAAGAUGAAACCUUCCAAAACUAAAUACUAGAAUUCACAAAAAUAAAUCAAGACCCUUUCAUCAAACCCCAAAACCAAAAUAUUACUCAAAUUUUGAAUUAUUUACCAAAAAUUCAAAUAAAACUAUAAAUCUAACAAAAUUAUCAAACCACGAUGAACCUAAUUUACUAAAAUAAAUAAAAUAAAGACUAACUAUCAUCUUGGGAAACUUAGUCAACUAAAAUGAAAUAACAUAAAAAUAAAAUAACUAAAAAAAAUAAAGCUAAAAUUGAAUUAAAUAAAAUUAAAAUUUUGGUGUCUAUAGUUUGAAGUAUUAAUUAGUAAAUUAGUUGUUUGUUAUUGCUUUUAAUCGAUAUUAUUCUAGAUAAUAGAGUAAGCCAAGGACCUAGUACUUGAUUAGACGCUCCUCAUGAGAUCGACCCUUAUAUGCCCUGUAUUACUAGUUUGACACUCUAUAUUACUAGUUUGACAUGUAUACUUGCAGAAAAUGGGUGUAUUUUGGAUUUAAAGUUGUGCACAUAUUUGAAACCCAUAAAGUUUUGGCGCCGUUGCCGAGAGAGCGGCAAUAUUGGGAUCUAGCAAGUUUUAUUAGUUUAGACAUUUUUUAGAGUUUAGUAGAGUUUGUUUAAUUUAUUUGUUUAAGUAGUGCUAAUUGUUUGGUGUGAACUUGCUAAACUUCAUUAUAUGCUCUUAUUUGUAGUGUAUACAUUGAGUUUUAUGAGUUAUUGCUCCUUUUAAUCCAGAAAUUGAGAGGACAAUAAGGAGACAAAGAAGGAGUGCAUCACAAGUAGAGGAGGAGACAUACCAAAUAGAGGGGAUCUCUAUCAAAUUGCCUUUUGAAGAAGAAAUGGCAGGACAAUAAGCAAAUGAGUGAGCCCUUAGAAAUUAUGCACUACCGCGAACUCAAGGCUCUUAAACAAGCAUUUCAAGGCCAAUAGUAAAUGCCAAAAAUAUUAAGAUUAAACUGUCUUUGAUACAAAUUGUUCAACAAUCUUAAUUUGGAGGGUAAUGUCAUAGAAGAUCCAAAUGCUCACUUGGCUGGUUUCUUGGAGAUGUGUGACACUAUCAAGAUGAAUGGAGUAAGUGAAGAUGCAAUUAGACAUGGAUUAUUUCCAUUUUCAUUGCAUGAUAAAGCUAAGGUAUGAUUGCAAUUUCAUUCUUCUACCACUUUUACUACUUGGGAUGCCUUGUCUCGAGACUUUUUGAAUAAAUAUUUUCCAACUUAGGAUGGAUAUUACUAAUUUUAAUCAACACGAUGGUGAGUCAUUUUAUGAAGCAUAGGAAAGAUUUACGGAUUUUUUAAGAAAAUGUCCACAUCAUGGACUUCUUGAUUGGCUUAUAACCCAAACAUUUUAUAAUAGCUUAUCUUUUCAAACUAAAACUAUAAUUGAUGCAGCCACAGGUGAAACAUUAAUGGGUAAAUCACCGAAGGAAGCCCAAAAUUUGAUUGAAGAAAUGGCAGCCAAUAACUAUCAAUGAGCAAAUAAGAAAGGUAAUCUAAGAAGGCAAGCAGGUAUGUUGGAAAUGGACACUCUUAACAUGUUGAGUGCCCAAAUAAACAAUGUGAUUAAGUUGCUUAGUAAACAAGCCGAAGUUGGUGCUAUUUUGUCAUCCAAUGUAAGUUUUGCUUGUUGUGCCACAUAUGGAGGGGAUCAUAAAACUAAUGAAUGUAUUGAUCUUGAAUAGGUGCAAUUUGUCAAUAAUUACAAUCAAUCAUCACAAAACAAUCUGUACUCAAAGACAUUCGAUUUGGGUUGGAGAAAUCAUCUAAAUUUUGGAUGGAAAUAUCCAAAUAAUCAACAAAGGCUUACAAACCCACUUGACUUCCAACCAAGGCAACCAAUUAGGGAGACUAAACUGGCUUAGGAAUUGGCAUUCAAGCGGCUAGCUAAUGGGUCUAGUGAUAAGAUUGAAAUAACUGAGGUGAAGAUGGACCCACUUACAACUAUGUAUAGAAAUAUAGAGGUUCAAGUUGGCCAAAUUGCUAAUGCCAUCAAUGUUAGGCAACCGGGGGAGCUUCCUAGUAGGACCAAGGUUAAUCUUGGAGAACAUGUAAAUGCAAUCAUGCUUAGAAGUGGUAGACAUUUAGAGGAACCUAAUCUUGCUAAGAGGAGUGAGACCAAGGAUAAGGAAAUAGCAAAAGAAGAGGUAGAAGGGAAGGGUAAAGAUCAUAUAGCUAUUGACGUUGAGUAUCCUACUUCAAUUGUUACUAAUGAUUCUAUUCCUUUUCCUGGCAAGUUGACAAAAGACAAUAAAGAUAGGGAGUUUGAAAAAAAUCUUCAAAAUUUCAAAUAAUUGCACAUUAACAUUCUUUUGAUUAAUGUCAUUAAGCAGAUUCCUUCCUAUGCACAGCUCUUGAAGGAUAAUAUGUCCAAGACGAGGAAGAUUGUGGAUAAUGACACAAUUGCAUUGAUAAAGAAAUAUAACACGUUGAUUCAAAAUAAACUACCUCCUAAAAUAAAUGAUAGUAGAAGUUUUUCAAUAUCUUGCACUAUUAGUGAUUUAAAUUUUACUAAUGCAUUAUGUUAUUUAGGUGCAAGUGUCUUACUUAUUCCUUUCUCAAUUGCUCAAAAGUUAGGGUUGAAGGAAGUAAAGGCUGUGAAUAUCAUUUUGCAAUUGGCAGAAAGGUCUACUAAAUAUCCUAUAGGUAUUUUGGAGAAUGUGCUUAUAAAAGUGAAACAAGUUAUUAUACUUCUGGAUUUUGUAGUCUUACAUAUGGAAGAAGAUGCGAAAAUGCCUAUUAUUUUAGGAAAGCCUUUCUUAGCCAUAACAGGUAGUAUAAUUGAUGUUCAAGAAGGUAAAAUGAUGUUUUGAGUCAAUGGUGAGAUUAUAGAAUUCAAGUUCUAUCAAGCCAAGGAAAGUGAACCAAUUGAUCAUGACUUACAUGGUUCAUGUAAUGAAAAAAGUGCUUUAAAGGUAUGUGAAGAGGUUAACUCUUCAAGUUUGAUUCAAUAUGAUUUUCAUAUUUAAGGUAUCGAGCAUUUGGAUGAAGCAAUUGUAGAGCAAUCCAAGCCUAUACCAACUCAAGUCCAAGAGAAUAUAGGUAAAAAGUGGUAUCAUCUUGAGGAGGGUAAGUAUUUUCUACUUAUAAGUGAUUAUGAGCAAAAUUACGAUUUGCCUAACUUACCUCUUAAGCUUUUGAGGGUGUUAAAUGAUGGAGAUUCAUACCAUGUUCAUCACCAAGUGGAGUGGUUUCGAAGCUUUGAUCCAUGGGGAAGGCAUUGCACCCCAAUUUACUAUUAAAGGAAGAAUCAUUUUGAGUCGAACUUAACGACUUUAAACAAAGCGAUUGUUGGGAGGUAACCUAAUGAUUUCUUGUUUUUGAUAUAUUUUUAGUUGUUUCACCAAUGUUUUGUGUGUUUUUUAGGUGACCAUAAUAAGGUUCAUGUAACUCAUCUCAAGUUCAAAAGUGCAUACAUUGAGGCAAAAAGGGAGCUUUCAUAUCUAAUUCAUGCAUUCCAUGCAUUUAAUGUAGUUCAUAUUUGUGUCAUGAUCUUGUGUUUCUAAAUGUAUUGGAUUGAAAAAGUGCAUUUUCUUGGUUAAAUUCAAAUUUUGCUUGAAGAACAUGAAAUUAGUUGAAAAUCAGGUGAGAGUGGGAACUUGGCCAAAUAGGGAGGAAAAACUGCAGAAACUUUGUGCGAAAACUUAGCCAAAUAGAAAAUUGGAGGAAAAACUGUAGAAAUCAAAGUUUCUAUAGUAAAUCCAACCAAGUUCCAGCCGAAAAUCAUUGGCAAGGGAAGCAAAAUUCUUUGGUGAGGUUAUUGAUGAUUACUGGUGAUAAUUAAUACAUGGGUAUGUGAUUAUUUAGUGAAUUUGGUAAUUUUUAGCUAAUUUUUGGUCUUAAAGUGACUUGAUAUAAUUGUGAUGAUUAUUCGCUAAUGUGUUGAAUUAAAUUGCUUGGAAAUAAUUUUGUGAAGAUGGGUUAUUUGUACUAUGAUAUUUACAUGUUAAAAUUGUGCAUAGUUUGCUUAUUUCUUGAUUUUUGCAUGAGUGUUCUAGGAUUUGUGGAAUAGUUAAUUUAUAACCUUUUUAAGCCAAAAUUUCAUGUUCGAAGAUGCUAUUUAGCAUUUAUUUAUGCUUAAUUAGGUCAUUAAUAAGUGAGUGGGUAGUGCGUUUGCCUCAAUUGGAGUUUGCAUAAUUGCUUCCUCUAUUGUAAUUAUUGCACCUGAAUUAUUGGGGAAUUAUUUCUUAUUGUAUUUGUGUGUUUCACUUGGGAAUUUAAUAGAUCAUUUGUUGAGGUUAAUAGUUUUGCUUACUUAUGAUGUUGAUUGAUACUUGUUAUGUAAGUUAGUUAACUAUUUUGCCUCUUUUAAGAUAAGGGUAAAUAUGAGCAUGUGCUUAUUAUACUUAAUUUAAUUAAGUACCUAUUCAAUGAAAUUAAUGUUUGUAAUUUUAUUUAGGUACAAGGCUCGCACUAAGAAUGUCGGGGUGAAAUCUCUAUCUCCUAAUAGAAAAGGUGAAGCUUCUAUGUCUACUUCUAGGCCACCACGUACCAAAAGAAAAAUGAGUAGUCGUCUUGUUCUUGAAGAGGAAUCAUCAUUCGAAGUGGAGAUUCAUCAACAAGAAAAACAAGAAGUUGAACAAGUGGAGUAAGUUACAUACGACAGAACACCAUUCACCUCGGCCAAAAAUGAAGUAUGGUAUAAUGCCCGAUUGGCAACUAAGGUAUUACUGGAGAAGAAUGUGACUCCUGAUGUUGAGAAAGUGUACCAUCUUAAGAAAUAUUUUGCUAAGCUGAAAUGGGAGAAUUUCUUUAAUCUUCCAAACAAUUGUUAUGAAGACCUUGUCCGUGAAUUUUAUGCAAACGUGGAAGGCAAGCAGUCUUUCUACUUUAACAGGGGAAAAUGUGAGAACCCUAAUAAAAAAAAUUUCACAUUUUCUAUGCAUUAUUUUAUUUCUUUGUCUACAUUUUAUACUUUCCUUGGAAAUAUUAAAAUUUCUAUGCAUUUUUACAAGCAAGUACAGUUUUAAAAUCAUUUUUCCUAGUAUGAGUUAGUGUACAUUAAUUUGAAGUGUGUUAUAGAUGUGGGACCCGCUAGUGCGAUAUAAGUUUGGUGACUAAGUGAUUUUUGUGCUGAAUGUUAUUAUUAUACAAGGUGCUAGAGGAUAAUUAGAGGUUUGUUAUAUGAUGUAACCAUUGGAAGCCAAAGGAUUAGAGAAAACACUAGAAGGGCCAAGUGUUGCAAACCCAUUGGAGGUUGGACUUUGACCUCAUUUUCACCUUUACUAAAAACCAAAUUUUGACCCAAAAUAUCUUCAUUUUUCUUGCUUCUUGGCCGAAUCUCUUGAGGGGAGAAACAAGAGAGAGCUCUUCAAUUUCUUGCUUCCAAACUUGCUCAAAUCUUGAGUUUUAACCAACCAAAUUUGAAACUACACCAUACAAGUGCUCAACUAAGAAGCUUGAUGGUUUUGGUGGAGUUGUUUUGGAGGAGGAAAGACUAAACCACUAUUUUCUUGUGGUUUUAAGGUAUCUUGCCAAGAAAUCUCUCUUUACUUUUAAUACUAGAUCUGUUGUUAGCUUUUUUUUGGUUCAAAGGUGCUUGUAAUGCUUAUAUCAACUGAUUUUGGAUGGUUGGGGGUGAUGAGUUAGGGUUUGAAUGAUUCACUUAUCAUACUUAUUGUGUGGGUGGUAUAUGAUGUAUAUAAGGUGGUAUAAGAGGUGGUAGUGAUGGUUUCAAGCUAAAAAUGAGAGGUGGUAUAAGAGGUGGUAGUGAUGGUUUCAAGCUAGAAAUGAGAUUUAUACCUUGAUUGUAGCAAAUUUUCAGAAUUGAAGUUAAGGUAUACCCUGUUCUUCCUGGUUCUAUUUCACCAUAUUAGAGGCUGAAUUAGGCUUAGCCUAAAACAUGAAAGUUGUAUAGAAUGAUGUUUUGUAGGUUUUUACAAAAUUUCAGCUCAAUCAGAGCAACGUAGACUGUGAAAAGACUGAAAUACCCUGACUGCCCUAGGUGAAUCCAGUGCUCAGUUUUGAAUAUUUCACCAAUCUGGUCGUGUCUUUUCACCAUGAUAUGUACUGAAAUAGUAUUUACCCAAAACAUAAAAGUUGUAUUAUUAUGUCUUAGCUUUCCAAUGCCACUAGAAACACCUCAAUCGGACUUUGGUAGCCUGAGUUAUUGUCGUUUAAGCAUAGUGUGGUUAACUGACCUGUUUGUGAGAUUCUGGUUCCGUAAUUCGAAAUUUUGACCUAGAUACACUAUGAACUGGACUAAGUGGUCUUCAUCAAAGUUGUAGAUCUCUGUCUUAGCUUCGAAAUGGUAUAAAUUACACCUCAAUCUGAUAAGUAUAGCCUCAUUUGUGUCCGUUACACAAAAUAACAUCAAAACUGUCUUUUGUUUCUUGACGCAAACUUCAUUUCUGCACAUGUUCCUAGCUUGAUUUUGUACUUAUAUGACUCUGAGCCUAUGGAAUGGCUAUUGAAAUGAGAUGAUUUUGUGUGUGACUUUGGGAUUGAUUGAGGAAAACAAUGAAACCAUAAAUGGCUGGAAAAUAGGUAAAUACAAAGGGCGUGCUGCCCAAAUUUUUCGCUUGAGGGCUAGGUAGAUAUACUUGCGACUUGAGAAAGGCUUGAGAGCGAAUACCACUUGAACCAUUUAGGAUAUUGGCAUCUUCUUUUAUCGAGAUAUAUAAGUUAGAACUUAGCCGGAACUUGUACCCUUGGAAAAAAAAUGAAAUUUACGACUAAUAGAAAUACGUUUUCUUUGUCACUUCCAUUCAAAUGGAGAUUUUAAAGUUUUACGAGUGAGCAUAAGUUUUACAAAUAUUUUACUUAUAUUCUUUGGUUUCAAUGUACUCUUUUCACUACCAAAACUAUAUUUAUAUUUUGUACUAGUACGUAUUCGAAUUUUCGUUGAAUCACUUAAAUCUUUGAUAGUUGAAGCAUAAUGUGUUCUUUUGAUUAUAUUAGGGUUCCUUGGUGAUUGAGGGCAAUACCCAGAAGAACACUUUGGAUAUUAUUUUGCGUACAUAGGUGAGUCUUCCUUGGUUGCUAUACUUUCUGACUUCAUGGCUUGUGUUAUUGUUUGAUAAUGUGUUAAGUGCUUUCAAGCAUUUCCAACGAGUUUCUAGGCGAGUGUGUACUUUAUCGCACUAGACCUAAAUGAAUGUGAAAUUUUCAACGAUUUCAAGGAUUGAAACAUUACUUGUGCAUGAUGUAAGCCUUUUGGCUGAACUGGGCUCUGCCCUUCGUUACUGAUCGACUCGAGUCAGAAGCAGACUCGGUCGGGCGAUUUGGUGACCCUGAGUGAAAGUUUGGUAUACUAGAGUAUUACCUUGUAUUCUGAUGGAGCCUGGCCAACGUCCAGGAGGGGGUGAAUGAAAUGAAAGAACGAACAAGGGUUUUACUUACAAAAAUACAUUUUCAAAUGAUUGGAGGAAUAAGGGGAAUGACAGGAGAAUGAACAAACGAACGAAUGUAUGGCUCCUUGUGAGCCCGUAUCCUUUUAAUGAAUGUGUUACUAUCGCUUUCCAUUGUAAAUGUUUCUUGAAUUAUUGAUACUCUAUGUUUAAUGUAUUGGAUUGAUUGUUUGGUUAUGUGUUUAGAACCUCACUGAGCUUUUAGCUCAUCCCUUUAGUUUUAUUUUCCUUAACAGGGGAAGGCGAGUCAGGACGAGAGCUUUGUAUCGACUAACUUAGUCCAGUUUCUUGAAUUUGGUAAUGGUUCUCGCCUUAGUGCAUGGCAUGAGUUGGAUGUAUGAAAAUUGAGAACCUUUGUAUAUUCAAUGGUUGUACUCCUUUUUGAGAUAGCAAUGUAUAUAAGUUUUGCUUUAAGUUUUGGAUCGUUGUUAUGUUUAUUCUUGUGGGUUUAUUUUGGUUUUGAUUGAGGAUUGAAGUGAACGACUGAGUUCCAGCGAGAGUUGGACAGGCGGUCCGCCGAACCCUUUGGUUCGCCUUAGGGGAAGAUAGGGCUAUCACAGUUGGUAUCAAGCCUGCUUAGCAUGGUCUCUGCGCGGAGUGAGCCUGGAUUGAGUGGUGAAUAGGUAUAAAGGAUUAAGUGCUCGUUCGAGCAUAAGCUAUGAAUUGUGAAUGUUAUAGGCCUUAAAUUUUCUUGCGGUAUCUGAGGACCAUAGAUAGGUACGUCAGGUAGGAAUCUCGAUUGUAGAUAGUUUACUCUUGGGAUUGGCCAGGUCGAAAUGUGAAUUGUCUUAUUUCGGCUUCUCGUGCCCAAGUACUCUAGAGUUAAGGCGAUGCUAAGCAUGUGUGAUUUGUAUUUUGGGAACAUGAACAGGCUUUGUUCAACUGGAAUGAGUACAAGAGGUCAAUGGAUGUCUAGUUUGGAUAGGAAGUGACGUGAGAGACUGGACGGGGUUUAUCUUAGCUGAGACUGGGAUGACUUCACCUUUUCUUUUGAUUCGCCCGUAUAUUGUUACUGCAUGACAUUAAUUUCUGUAUUUGUGUAUAUGAUUAUCUGUCCAACUUGAUAUGUAUUCGUGUAUUUGAUUAUCUGUCUCCCUGAUAUGGUGUGUUACUUGCGUAUAUGUUUAUUUGUGUAUUUGGUACGUUGGAUUUUGUUAUUUUAGUCAAUUUACUUCAUUCAUUCAUUAAAUUACCCUUUUGAAAAGAAAAGAAAGAGAGAGGGGAAAAAACUAUAUGAAGGGAAGACGUAGUUGCAGACGUGGUCGUGGCCGUGGAAAUAAGUGAGCCCAAGAGCCAAGAGAAGAAAGGGAAACAACAGCUGAACAAAGACAAGGGCCGAGAGUGCCACUUGUACUUAGGAAUUUAAUAUGACCCAUUGUUUUGCCCGGCAGGCUAUCAUCUGAGUUCCAGCGACUCCGUGAGAUGGCACAUUGGGUUGAUAUGUAUAAGGAAAUCGCGGUUUUUCGAGGCGAAAUAGAGGUCCAAAGGAAACUAGCUGAGUACUGGGAAGGGCGAUGGAAGCACGAGUAUUCGGAGAAAAUUGAGCUCUUGCACAAGAACAUAGAGCUAAAAAGGAAAUACAAAGGGAUUUUCGAGGAGGCCUUAGCAAUGGCACAAAGCACUACUUCUAUGGGGGUUCCGGAGGAAGCUCAAAAGAUAGAAAUUGCAAGGCCACAAGUGAAGAUCUCCCAUGCAAAGAAAAGGGGUGCAUCUCUUAAAAGUCAAAGGCCAGAACAGGGUGAGUGAGGUAGGCCAUUCGCUAAGAUGGGUCGUGGAGCGGGUGGUGUGAAAAUUUUGGAGACACUUAGGGAAGAUACUCCAGGAGGAAACCCAAGUGGAGAAGGACCACUGCGAGGUAUCUCACAAGAAGAUCAAACCUCAAUCCCUUUUCCAUUUUGUGGCUAUUGUAGAAAAGCCAACCAUAUUGAGGUGGGUUGUUGGAAAAAGGGGGGAAGAUGUCUGCGCAGUGGGAGCGCCAAGCAUCGGAUUGCUAAUUGCCCGAUUCGAUUGCGUGAAAAGAAAGGAACCCAGCAACCAAGACCAACCCUGGACCGUCAAAUGGAGAAGGGACUGGAAUGAAGAUCCUCGUUUCUUCUGAGGACGUAGAAGGUACAAGCCAUUGGUUACUUUAGAUUUUGAUGGAUCCCGUUGAUAGGAAAAUUUCGAGGACAAAAUUUCUUUAAGGGGGGAACAGUGUGAGAACCCUAAAAAAAAUUUCACAUUUUCUCACCAUUAUUUUAUUUCUUUACCUACAUUUUAUACUUUCCUUAGAAAUAUUAAAAUUUCUAUGCAUUUUCACAAGCAAGUACAGUUUUAAAAUCAUUUUUCCUAGUAUGAGUUAGUGUACAUUAAUUUGAAGUGCGUUAUAGAUGUGGGACCCGCUAGUGCGAUAUAAGUUUGGUGACUAAGUGAUUUUUGUGCUAAGUGUUAUUAUUAUACAAGGUGCUAGAGGAUAAUUAGAGGUUUGUUAUAUGAUGUAACCAUUGGAAGCCAAAGGAUUAGAGAAAACACUAGAAAGGCCAAGUGUUGCAAACCCAUUGGAGGUUGGACUUUGACCUUAUUUUCACCUUUACUAAAAACCAAAUUUUGACCAAAAUAUCUUCAUUUUUCUUGCUUCUUGGCCGACUCUCUUGAGGGGAGAAACAAGAGAGAGCUCUUCAAUUUCUUGCUUCCAAACUUGCUCAAAUCUUGAAUUUUAGCCAACCAAAUUUGAAACUACACCAUACAAGUGCUCAACUAGGAAGCUUGAUGGUUUUGGUGGAGUUGUUUUGGAGGAGGAAAGACUAAACCACUAUCUUCUUGUGGUUUUAAGGUAUCUUGCCAAGAAAUCUCUCUUUACUUUUAAUACUAGAUUUGUUGUUAGCUUAUUUUGGUUCAAAGGUGCUUGUAAAGCUUAUAUCAAGUGAUUUUGGAUAGUUGGGGGUGAUGAAUUUGAGUUAGGGUUUGAAUGAUUCACUUAUCAUACUUAUUGUGUGGGUGGUAUAUGAUGUAUAUAAGGUGGUAUAAGAGGUGGUAGUGAUGGUUUCAAGCUAAAAAUGAUAUUUAUACCUUGAUUGUAGCAAAUUUUCAGAAUUGAAGUUAAGGUAUACCCUGUUCUGCCCGGUUCUAGUUCACUAUGUUAGAGGUCGAAUUAGACUUAGCCUAAAACAUGAAAGUUGUAUAAAAUGAUGUUUUAUAGUUUUUUACAAAAUUUCAGCUCAAUCGGCGGAACGUAACCUAUGAAAAGACCGAAAUACCCUGACUGCCCUAGGUAAAUCCAGUGCUCAGUUUGAAUAUUUCACCAAUCUGGUUGUGUCUUUUCACCAUGAUAUGUACUGAAAUAGUAUUUAGCCAAAAUAUGAAAGUUUUAUUAUUAUGUCUUAGCUUUCCAACGCCACUGGAAGCACCUUAAUCGGACUUCGGUAGCCUGAGUUAUUGUCGUUUAAGCAUAGUGUGGUUAACUGACCUGUUUGUGAGAUUCUGGUUCUAUAAUUCGACAUUUUGACCUAAAUACACUAUGAACUGGACUAAGUGGUCAUCAUCAAAGUUGUAGAUCUCUGUCUUAGCUUCGAAACGGUAUAAAUUUCACCUCAAUCCGAUAAUCGUAGCCUCGGUUGUGUCCGUUAGGCAAAACAACGUCAAAACUGUUUUGUCUUUUUUCUUGACGCGCAAACUUCAUUUCCGCACAUGUUCCUAACUUGAUUUGUACUUGUAUGACUCUGAGCCUAUGGAAUGUCUAUUGAAAUGAGAUGAUUUUGUGUGUGACUUUGGGAUUAAUUGAGAAAAUAAUGAAACCAUAAAUGGCUGGAAAAUAGGUAAAUACAAAGGGCGUGCUGAGAAAAGCUUGAGAGCGAAUACCACUUGAACCAUUUAGGAUAUUGGCGUCUUCUUUUAUCAAGGUAUAUAAGUUAGAACUUAGCCGGAACUUGUACCCUUGGAAAAAAUGAAAUUUAUGACUAAUAGAAAUACGUUUUCUUUGUCAUUUCGACUCAAAUGGAGAUUUUAAAGUUUUACGAGUGAGCAUAAGUUUUACAAAUAUUUUACUUAUAUUCUUUGGUUUCAAUGUACUCUUUUCAUUACCAAAACUAUAUUUAUAUUUUGUACUAGUACGUAUUCGAGUUUUCUUUGAAUCACUUAAAUCUUUGAUAGUUGAAGCAUAAUGUGUUCUUUUUGAUUAUAUUAGGGUUCUUUGGUGAUUGAGGGUAAUUUCCGGAAGCACACUUUGGACGUUAUUUUGCGUACAUAGGUGAGUGUUCCUUGUUUGCUAUAUUUUCCUUGACUUCAUGGCUUGUGUUAUUGUUUGAUAAUGUAUUAAGUGCUUUCAAGGAUUUCCAAACGAGUUUUCUAGGCGAGUGUGUACUUUAUCGCACUCGACCUAAAUGAAUGUGAAAUUUUCAAUGAUUUCAAGGAUUGAAACGUUACUUGUGCAUGAUGUAAGCCUUUUGGCUGAAUUGGGCCCUGCCCUUCGUUACCGAUCAAUUCGAGCCAGAAGCGGAUUCGGUCGGGCGAUUUGGUGACCCUGGGUGAAAGUUUGGUAUACUCAAGUAUUAACUUGUAUUCUGGUGGAGCCUGGCCAAUGUCCAGGAGGGGGUGAAUGAAAUGAAAGAAUGAACGAGGGUUUUACUUACAAAAAUGCAUUUUCAAAUGAUUGGAGGAAUAAGGGGAAUGGCAGGAGAAUGAACAAACGAACGAAUGUAUGGCUCCUUGUGAGCCCGUAUCCUUUUAAUUAAUGUGUUAUUUUCGCUUUCCAUUGUAAAUGUUUCUUGAAUUAUUGAUACUCUAUGUUUAAUGUAUUGGAUUGAUUGUUUGAUUAUGUGUUCGGAACCUCACUGAACUUUUAGUUUAUCCCUUUAGUUUUAUUUUCCUUAACAGGGGAAGGCAAGCCAGGACGAGAGCUUUUUAUCGACUAGCCUAGUCUAGUUUCUUGAAUUUGGUAAUGGUUCUUGCCCUAGUACGUGGCAAAGGUUGGAUGUAUGAAGAUUGAGAACCUUUGUAUAUUCGAUAGUUGUACUCCCUUUUGAGAUAGCAAUGUAUAUAAGUUUUGCUUUAAGUUUUGGAUCGUUGUUAUGUUUAUUCUUGUUGGUUUAUUCUGGUUUUGAUUGAGGAUUGAAGUGAACGACUGAGUCCCGGCGAGAGUUGGGCAGACAGUCCGCCGCCGAACCCUUUGGUUCUCCUUAGGGGGAGAUGGGGCUAUCACAGUAAAAUUACGAGUAUAGGUAUAAAAAUUUUGAGUAUAGGAGAAAUUAUGAGAGUAUAGGACAAUGAACCAAAGGUUGAAUCCAUAGAGCUGAUUUGAAAGAUUUUCUUCAUGUUCCCAAUGCUAGGUAUAAGGUUGAUUUGAAGAAAGUAUUUAAACCUCGUGACUCGGACUCUUGGAACAUGGUAGAGGCACUUGUAUGCUUGGGAGUUGAGUAUAAAGCCACUCGUAAAGUCAGAUGAUAUUCCGUAUUAACUUCCUCUUUGAAGGAGCCAUAUCGUCUUCUCAUCUAUUUGUUCGCCUCCAAUGUUAUUCCACGAGCAAGUGGUACUAAUGUGGUGCACACUAUUGAUGUCUAUUUCUUAGACAAGACGGAGCAUGGAUUAGGCAAUCUCCAAAGUAUUCCUUUAUGAAGCAUUAUCACCAACUACAUGUGGACAAUGGUUCAAAAUAAUGAUGUCAAACAUGCUUUCCCAUAUGCUCGUUUCUUAACAUUGCCAUUUCAAAGGGCUGGAGUGAAUUUCACUAAUGCUAUCCCUGUGCGCCUCAAGAAGAAAGAUGUGUUUAUACUGGAUUUUUGCAAAUAUCUUUUAAAGGCAAAGAGACUAGUGGCCCUUCAACUCAAGGUGAUGUUCAAGGUGAAGCUCGAUAGGAGGAAGAAGUAGAAAUUGCAUAUUUAAAAGAAGCUCAAGGGUUGAGACAAAUUCCCAAGCGACUUCAAUCAACCCUUCCUCCUCACAUCCUCCUCUAUCACCUCAAGACGCUUGAUCUUUUUUUCGAAAAGAUGGACAAAUUGCUUUGUAUCGAGGCCGAGGUAAAGAAGAGUUGAAGAGAGCAUAAAAGGAACUCCGAGCAUUUUUAUGCACUAAGGUUAAACUUGCAACAAUGCACCACUGACUCCACCCUCUUCACUUGACCAAGUGGCUACUUAAGGGAGAUCAUCUCAUUUCCCUUAUCCUUUCCCAAUUUGCAUGAUUCCCCUUCUCAUUGCAUUUUAGUUUCCUUUUAGUUGUUUUUUGUAUGUUUUAGCUCUUUUUAUCCAAGUCAUCUUCAAUUAUGUAGUAGUGCUUGAGAUUUGAUGGGAUUAGAACAACAUCAUAAGGCAUUGGACUUAGAAAACGCAAGUUAUAAGAGGAGUAUUAUUUCUUAUCAUUUUGUUCUCUACUUCUCACACAUUUAGUACCAUGUGUAGUUUAAGUGUGAGGGAGGAGAAUUAUUUGAAAUUACAUUUUAUGCCUUGCGAUGGAUUUUAUGCCUGUUAAUGCUUGUGAAAUGUUGGAAUGAUAUUUGGAAAUAAUGUCAUGUGAAUUUUUUUUUUUUAUCAAAUUUGAGUUUGUUGGUAGAGAGUUUCGUCCAUUCUUAUGGGGAGAUUGUGUCAAAAAUUUUCCAAAAUCUUUGACAAAUUUCACUUUGGCCCAAAAAUUUUUAUCUUUUUGCUAUCUUAUGUUAAUUGGGCCAAAUUGUUCCAUCGAUUAUAAUUUUAAUUCUUCUACAUGUUGAAACAAUUAUGUGCAUCUUAGAAAAUUUAGUCUUCAUUUCAUUUGGAAUUAGUUAUUAUGCAAUUAGGAUUUUUGUUUCUUAGAAAGUAUAUCUUACAAAGUGGGGGAAAGGAUGCCUAUAUUUACAUGAUGAAUGAGAUUUCUCCCCUUUAUUAAAUUUUACAAGUGGGCAAUUGUAUAGUUAAUAAAAUCUAAUCUCUUCCUUUGUUUAUAUUAUGUUUUAUGAAGAAGGCAUGUUUAGUUAUUGUAGCUUGUUCAUAAAAAAAAAUAGAAAGAAAAAAAAGAGAAGAAAGUGAGAAUAAGAGUUUUUUUUCCUACUCCAAUGAUUCUUGUACUAAGUAACCAAGGGUUGCCAUCUACAAAUGUUGACACUAGCAUAAAAAGAUACUCAAAUUAAGAGUAUGUAAGCAACUUGAAUAGUGAAAUGUUAAAUAACUGGGGAUCCUCACAGAAAAGUGUCAAUUUUCGCUUCAAAAGACAUUUUUGCUAUUCGAGUAAGAAUUUUAUGAAUAAAGUACCUCUUAGUUGUUCAAAAAAAAUGAUGAAAAUGAUUGUAAGAGGAGAAAAGCAUCAAUUGACUAUGUGAUUUGCUUAUUUGUGAAAUUAAGUUAAGGUGAUAGAUUGUGUUUAACUUAUUGAAAUUCGGGUAUAAUUAUCUUCCCUUUAUUUGAUAUUAUAAGUACUUGAAGUAAUUUAAAUAAUUGUAUGAUGAUUGAUUGCCAAGUUGAACAGAACUUGAAUUUGAAAGAAUGCAUAUAAUGUUUCAACUCUUAACUCAUUUUUAUUGAUUUUGUGUCGAUUAUUUGAGGACAGGCAAUGACCUAAGUGAGGGGGAAUUGAUAAGUGACAAACUUGAGUGACUUUUGAUGAGAAAUCAUGUGACAGUCCCACCUCACUCUAAGGCGAACCAAAGGGUUCAGCGGACCGCCUGUCCAACUCUCGCCAGGACUACAGAGUCGAAUUCACAAACCGUAUAGUACGCGUAAUAAGACCCAAAGAAAAUGAACAAAUAAAAACCACCAAGCUCCAAUAUCACUUACCAAAUCAUGUGGUGAAACAGGAUAUCGAUUAAACACUCACCAAAGUCAUAGAAGCGUAACAUCUCAAUGAAUACACUUAAUAGACAAAAUUAAAUACUUAUACAUGUAUUUACAUCAGAGCCUUCAACAUUUUAACUUGAAGUACAAGGCAAAGGGCUCAUACUAGUCAAAAUAUAAUUAGGGUUUCGGUUACAAAGGAGCUUAACAAAAUAACAUAUACAUUAGCUCGACCAUUUCUUCCAAAACCGUGGUUUCAAAGUUUGUCCCCUGUAAGGAAAACAAAGAUAAUGGGAAGGGGUGAACUUACGCUCAAUGAGGUACCAAAAUAAUAGCAAGCAAAUCUGGGCAUUUCAUGUUGAACCAAUCAAGUAUACAUGCCAGAGAUAAAGUAAAUAGUUAGACACAAUGAUUCAAAUAGGAAGGAUACAGGUGGCUCUCAGGAACCAGAUUUCCAUUGUAGUACUUGAUCCCAACCUGUUGACUCUCCAUCAACGUAUAUAGAACCAACAUGUCUGUAGACCCCACUUUACACCAAAUUUCAUCCACCAAACAUACCCCUUACCAAGCCCGAACACCUCAACAGAAACAGAAGUGGUAAUACUCGAGUAUACCGGAAUCAAGAGUCUCAAUACCCAAAGAUUCCCAGAAACAGACUACCAUGGCUUGUUAUCUAAUCGACUAGACCCUUGCCGGCUCGACUCGAGUAACUAGCCACAGGUUUUGAGUUCAGAGGUCGCAGACUUAUACAGAGAACAGAUACAGAGAGCAAAUACAGGCUUAUAUAGUAUGCAAGAAACAAGUAAACAGACGAGAGAAACGAGAGUGAUAAAGUACACCCUCAUUUCAUACAGAAUAUACAGAAGUCACGGAUAGCCAGAUAAGCAACAAAUUAGGGAAGUGGUACACUCACCAGUUCCAGUACAAGUACUUCAAAAUUUCACCCAGAAUGACCUUAAUCACGAAACCCUAAGAAUAACAAAGGUAAAGUAGUUGAAGUUUCCACAUCCAAAACCGAGUAAAUGGGAUGCACAAGUGAGGCUCGACUACAAGUCGUAUGCCUUCCCAGGUUAAGUACUAGUACAAAAGAAUAAAAUAUGAGUUUGAGCAAAAAGAUAACAGUUGGUCCUAGGGUUACAAACAACUCCCAAAACCCAUCAUCUUUACCAAGAUCAACUCAACUUGAAGGAAUCGCGUAGCCCUAAAAUUUUGGGCAGCAUGCCCUCUGUAUUUACCUAUUUUCCAGCCAUUUAUGGCUUCAUUGUUUUCCUCAAUAAAUCCCAAAGCCACACAUAAAAUAAUCUCAUUUCAAUAGCCAUUCAAUAGGCUCAAAGUUGUACAAGUACAAAUUCAAGCUAGGAAAAUGUCCGAAAAUGAAGUUUAAGUCAGAAAACAAAAGACAGAUUUGACUUUGCUUAGCGGAACAGACACAACCAAAGCUACGCUUAUCGGAUUAGGGUGCAAUUUAUACUGUUUCGAAGCUAAGAUAAAGACCUACAACUUUGAUGAAGAUCACUCAGUCCAGUUCAUAGUGUAUCCAAGUCAAAAUUUCAAAUUACAGAACCAGCAUCUCACAAUCAGACUAGUUAACCACACUAUGAUUAAACGACAAUAACUCAGGCUACCGAAGUCCGAUUGAGGUGUAUCUUAUGGUAUUUCGAAACCAAGACAUAUACCUACAUUUCUUAUGAAGGCCUCCAAAGCUAAAUCAUGCAUUUUCAGAGUCAAAAAUUGAAAUCUCCACAAAGACAGAAAACUGUCUACAAAACAGGGUUUAUGGGUAGUCAAGGGUAUUUCGGUCCUUUCACAUGCUACAAUAAUUCAAUCGAGUUGAAAUUUUACAGGAAGCUAUAAAACAUCAUUUUCUACAACUUUUAUGUUUUAUGCUAAGCCUAAUUCGGCCUCUAACAUGGUCAAACAGAACCAGGUAGAAUAGGGCAAAUUGGAAACCUUAAAACUGAAAUUUUUGCACUCUAGCUGAAAUUCUUUGAAGGCAAGUAAAACUAGCAUUUUCAAGCACAAAAUUACUCAUGACAACUACUAAAUCAUGGCUAAACAAAAAUCAUCAUAGAGGACAGAAAAUUUACUAUAAAAACUGAAAUUCACCAUGCCCCUACUUCAAACCAUAAACUUGUCCACAAAACUACAUAUUUAACCUCUCCAAUCCACUAAUUGACAAUUAUCAAGAGUAAAAGAAAUUUCUAAAUUUACCUUGAAACUAGAGGAAAGAUGAUAGCUUAGGGUUUCUUCUACAAAAAUCACUCCACCAAGACCUUUGUUCCUCCUUAAUAAGCACUUGUAUGGUGUAGUUUCCAAAACUAACAGUUAAAACUCAAGAUUCAAGCAUGGAAUGGAGGAAGAAGUUGAGGUUUUCUCUCUCUCUCUCUUUUCUAGCUAAGGAAGUCGGCCAAGAGGAAGAAAGAAACGAAGAAAUUUUGUCUAAUUUUUUCCAAGAUAAAGAUCAAAAAAAUCUUGGUCAAAAGUCAAGGUCCAAUGGUUUUGUGACAAAUGGUCCUUUAGGGUUUUAAUCUUAUCCUUUUGUCUACCAAUGAUAAUUUAUCUAACUAAUCUCUAAUUGUCUCCUAGCAUCUUGUACAGUAAUAUUCCUUUAUACAAAACUUCAAUUAAUCGGCAAAAAUUAUCGCACUUAGCACACUAGCGGGCCCCACAUCCAUAAUACGCUUCAAACUGAAUAUGAACUAACUUAAACUAGGAAAAUGAUUUAAAAACUUUACUCACUUAUAAAAUGUCUGAAAAAAACAAUAUAAUAAGGUACAAUGAAGAAAAUGCAUACGAGAAAAUAAAAUAAACUAAUAUAAAAAUAAGGGAAAUUUACGGGUCCUCACAAAUCAUGUCAUUGUUAGUCACUUUUGGGAUAUUUAAGGUGAAACAAGUCAUUUUUUUAUUAAAAAGUGGUUAAUAAGUUUAUUAGAAUCUUAAGUGGUUUAUGUCUCUUUUAAUCGCAUUAUUUUCAUGAUUUAUAUAGGAAUUGACUCUGGACUUCAUUUUGGACAAGAAAGGGUUUAUAUUAAGUUGACUAGAGGAUGGCGAGUUUUAAGGGUGAUUCGAGUCGCAAGAAAAAGAAAACAAAGAAACUUGUCAAAAAGGAAGUCGACUUGAAUCCUCAAAGGAAUCCAACCAUUUUUUGGAGGAAUUGCUUCGAGAGAUUCAUGGCAAUGAGUUGGAUUGCAAAAUCAAAUUUUGAAGAAAAACAAGGUAGGAAUCUGGUCAAGAAAUCCAGCUGGACUUUGGAGGGAUUACUUGGAGAGAUUCUGGUCAACUUUUGAGGCUACAACUUGUCCAACUUGAUUUCACCUCCAUAAUUUCACUUCUUUUUACAAACUUUUGCAGCUCAUUUGCAGCUAUAAUAAUGAUAGUUUGAGUCUCAUUUCUUGGCUUGUAACAUCUAUAUAUUCAUGUCUUAAGCAAGAAAAAAGAGCUUUUAGUUCUCAGCACUUAGACUAGGUAUUUUUUUCUCACCAGUAUAGAGAAAUCUGUACGAAGAAUUUGGAGAAAUAUUUCAUUUGUAACAACUCACUUUGGUUGAGAAAUAGAAGAUUUUUGGGAGUUUGCUCAUCAUUUGGCUAACCUUUCUCAACUAUCUCUUUAUUUUUUUUGUGCAAUAUGAGUCUAAGCAAUGAAUCUUAGUGUUUACUUGUUUUAUCUAAUACAUGAAGCUAAAUUUUUAGAUUUAGGGAGUAGAUUAAACUAAUGGUUCCUUGAAUAUGAAUUGAAUAUGGAUUACACUCGUUAUCUCUUGUAAUAACUUGUCCAUUUAUUCUUGCUCUAUUACUUGUUGUUUGAUCACCAUGGCAGGCUAGUAGUUGUUAUUACUCAAUGAUAAUUGGUAAUAAUAAUGGAAAGUGAUAAAUGGAACUUAAGGAGUAGGCUCGAGAGAGUAGAGAUAUACUUAAGUGGAUUUUCUUGAACAUUUCAUGUAGUAAAUAAACUAGAUUUAGAUCUUCACCAUGAGAGUAGGGAAGACUAGGUUAGUUAAUACCAUUUCAUCAUAAGAAUGAGUUUUGGUUAAUGUUGGAAAUGAAUCCCUAGUUAGAUAAGAAUAGUAAUAAAAGGUAAAUUCAUUCGCUUUCCUUUUUGGACCAUUAGUGAACUCUACAACCUAGAACCUUAGCAUUUAGAUUAUCUUUUCCAUUUGUCUUUCUUUACAAGUUAGUAGUUUGAAGUAUUAAUUAGUAAAUUAGUUGCUUGUUAUUGCUUUUAAUUGAUAUUAGUCUAGACAAUAGAGUAAGCCAAGGACCUAGUAAUUGAUUAGACGCUCCUUGUGGGAUCGACCCUAACGCACCUCGUACUUCUAAUUUGACCUGUAUGCUUGCAACAAACGGGUUUAUUUUGGAUUUAAACCUGUACACAUAUUUGAAACCCGUCAAAGUGACAACUCCAAAUUCAAUCACAAAAGACUUUGUAAUUGUAAAUAAAGAGUAAGAAAUUUCGCUUUUCUCUACUAUUUAACAUAUGAUUAUAUUUUAACAUCAUAUUUUUGAUUAACUUCUUUCUAUUCAAAGAAAAAAACUGAUACUACUUACUUUGUGGAAUGAGUUCCUAGAAUACGAAGGCAACAUCCUUACUAACACCAUUGCUGGUGUUCCUAUGGUGUUUGCUAUGAGAGUAAAAGUCUCUAUUUUCAAUAGUAAGCCUACCUACCUGAGGAAUUUAUUAUAUGCCAACCAUCUAUGACUUAUAUUUCUCAUACAUAAAAAUCCUUUUUCUCUAUUUCAAUAGGUCUAUCUUUGGGCACAAUAAGACUAUUUGGCAUUGUCAUCAAUCCACUAGUCCACGGGGAUUGUCACUUUGUCAAUGGUAUUUUAUCUAUCCCCUAUUCUUUAAAUACAUAUACAAUUAAUCAUCCUAAUUACUCUAUAUUAUGAAAAUAUAGUGUAGGUAUAGCAUCCAUAAAGAAGAAGUUAAAAAUCCAUUGGCAGCAAAAGCAUACAAGAAUCCAACAUUGCUGCUGCCACCACCAACUCGGGAGGAUAUCAACACCAUUCAUGAUUGGCUUCAUUUGCAACUGUUAGAACAAUCCAAUUUCUUAGCCUAACCAGUCAAUCUAAUCAUUUUAUACUUUAAAUUUUUGAAAAAUAAAAUAGUAAUAUACUGAAAUUUUAAUUCAUUUAUAGCAAAAAGCAGCAUGGAUAAGUGGAAAUGUCCAGUUAACAUUAAGACUGUUGAGCCAAACGCAAAUUAAAUCAAAAGAUGUUCAUCAAGCAAACAAGAAACUAACGUGGAACUGAGGUAUCAUUGUAUAUUUAACUUGUAAAAAAAGUACUCCUUCACAUUCUGUAUUCUACUAUAUACUAAACCUAUUAUGUUUUAUUUAAGGUGCCGAAUUGGAAUAACACUAACUAAUUCAAUGGGAAUCAUUCAAUGUCUGAUAUAUGGAAAGAAGUAUAUAUAUUGAUACAAUUGACUGCUACCCAACUUAGAGAAGCAAAAGAACAUGUAUAGUACUAAACUUCACUUUUAAGUUAUUUUUUGCUGCUCAUAUGUACAAACAUGAAUAUACAAAUACUCAAAUUCAUUAUUCUAAUAUCAAGGACUAAUAAUGAAUCAAGAAAUUUCUGCCAUCAUGAGAAAAUACAAAUUAAUCUUUUUUUUUGAAAAUAUGUGAGACAACUUUCCAAGGAUAAUGUUAGAGGAGAAACACAAUCAUUAAAACCUACACCACAAAUGAGCUCCCUAAGGCACGACUACCUCUACUAGAUCUACCAAUAACUAUCCAACCCUUGGAAGUUGCCACAUCAUCAAGCAGCAAACAAAACAGCUACUAGAAGAUCAAAUAUUCACACCAAUUGCAAAGUUGGUGCUUGAAAAAAUAGCUAAAUUCACUGUUAACAAAGGAAUAUUCAUUGCUGAACCAACUGCGACAAAAAGCGUUCUGACAUUCACUAAAGUAGAGGCUCAAUAGAUAGCCCUCACAAAUACUAUAGCACAGAGCCACAAGAUAGUUGAAGACAAUGCUGCUGUCAUAAAUUCACCAAAAGUGCUUCAACUGACAAAGCCACCACAAGCCCAGCAAAGAAGCUCAAACAACAAGAAGAAGAGAAUUAACCUCUUAUGAACUCUGACUACAAUCUUUUGCUAUUAUUAUAAAAGAAUGUGGUAUUCUGGUAUACAAGUCUAUCAUGGCUCAAGUGCAGUGUUAGAAUCCAUUGCUCCAAUAUCAUCUAUUGCUCCAAUAUCUUUUGAUAGAGCAAUGUAUUCUAUUACUUGGAUAUACUAGCACCUUGCUUAGCAACUUGAAACAAUUAUUUACUACAAGUAGCUCUAGAAUCAUAUCAGCAUCUAUUGUUUCAAUACUUUUUGAUAAAAUAAUGCAUGCUAUUGUUACUACCAUAGAACAGUAUGAUAGUUAGGUCUAUAACUAUAUUAUUCUCAAAAUGCAGUAUUAGAAUCAUCUGGUCCAAUAUCUUUUGAUAGAAUAGUGCAUUCUAAUACUUAUAUGUGAUACAACUUUGUCUAGUAGGAUGAAUCUAUAGUUUUGUGUGAACAGUUUAAAAUUUGUAGAAAUUUGUCUACAAAAUAACUUAUGACUUUAUAUACAUCUAUAGAUGAACUAUCAAUCCUCAUGUAUAAUUUGGAUUCUGACAACUAUAUUUCAUAUAUAACAGGUUGAACGUUAAUUAAAUGUCCAAUUGGAUUUAGAUGAAUCAUUAUUUAAUCUGACGAAAACUUUUUACCAUUUCAAAUGAGUAGCUUGUUUUUGCAUCACAUAAAAAUUUAGAUAUGACAAUCUAUACAUUUAGAAAUGAAAGUCAUGAAAGUUUUCCAUCAUUUAGACCUAACAUAUUGGGCAUUGGCUAUGCCUUGCACAACCAGAAAUUUUUUAGUACUAUGACAUAUAAAAUUGAGAAGGAUAGAUGUCACAUAAUGUGCCAAUAGACAUAUCUAUCAAGUAUCAACUAGUAAAAGUAACUCAAUGAGUCACUAAAGUUUAUAAGCUAAAAGUUUAAGUACUGAAUAAGUUCCCGCGUGCCACCUCAUCUUACAACCUCGUAUGUUUGCAUGGGAUACUGUAGCAAAUAGUGCCAUUACCUAACUCACUCAUCAAGCUCAUGAUAUAAAUACCACAUACCUUUGAGGAAGAAGGAUUUGAUCUCCAGAAUUUUUAACUUCCAUGCUCUUUUGCUGGCCAACUAUUCUCCCCAAUCUCCCUAAAUUGAUUUUGGUAUGGACCUAUUUUGCAGGAAUUAGCCCGCGCCUUUCUUUGCAGGUUCAACCCCGAGGCGGAUCACCUGAUGGUCACCAAAAAAUCAAGAAAUUCACCAAGGAUAUAUUUUCAACCAAUAAAUUAAUCAUACUAUAGGAUUCAGCAACAUAAACAACAUACAUUCUAUUUGUAAUGCAGAAAAUUGAAAAGUAUAACAAAGUUGAAUUAUCAAAGUCAUCUUAAUGCACGCUGGUCUUUCAGUACUUCAUUUUAGUCUUAAGAUGUAUUUCUUUUUUUCCUAAAGUUUUAUGUGGAUAUUUUAGGUAAAAAGUCGAGUGAUAAUAAAAGAAACAACAAGUACUUAGUAAUUUAACUAAAAAUUUGUUUUCCUUUGCUUGCUUCUAAAACAGAUGAUUCUUCCUCCACUUGACAUCCCGCUUGAGUACUCUCUUUGUCCUUUUAUUCAUUACUCUUUUAAUAUGUCUCAAAAUAUUUAUUUUCUUUAAAUAAAAACUUUGUAUCACAAGAUAUAUUUUUUUCAAGCAUCUUAUACGCUAAAAAUGUAAGUUGAAUUAUAAGUUGCUAUUAGGUUUUUUCACCUUUUUUUUUGGUUAAACACAUUAAAUCUUUGAGCUUUGUUUCCACUUGCACUUUGUUGGAAAAGAGGUAUCGAUACAGGCAUACAAUAUCAAAGUUAACCCAAGAAAAAUUAUACUUUUCCCAAGUACCAAUUAAAAUAGAAACAAACCAAAUCACCAAGCAAUGAAACCAACAAUAAUAAUAAAAAUUAGAAAACUUAAAAGCACAAGACACCAAGAUUUUUAACAAAAAAACCCAAAUUGGAGAAAAUCACAGUAUUUAGUCCAAUCAAAAUCUUCACUAUCACAAUAAUGGGCAUAUAUACCUAUUCAAACAUCUAGAUGACAACGACAUCAUCAAUGUCAACCAAGUGAAAUUGAUACAAAUUCAUCUCCCAAAAACUAAUAUUGUCAAAGAAGUGGGUUUGAAAGAGUGUUAACAAGUGAAGAGAAUAGAACUUGACAAGAAGAUUGCAUGGCUAAAAUUUUGUCUCAAUCGGGUUUUAAAUUACCAUCCAAUCAAGGUUUUGAAGUUUCAAAACACCUCUCUCUUUGUCUCUCUAUCUAGCUUCUUUCUCCCCAGUCUCCCUCUUUCUCUCUCUUUGUUCUCACUCGAGGUUGGCAGCUGAAGAUUUUCUCUUGUUUUUAAAUGAAACCCAUGGCUCUAGUACUAGUCAAGAGACUAAUCACUGGGUUUGCUUCAAGUCAAGUUGAUCAACUAAUGGGUUUUUUGUUUCAUGGGCCACCAAAUGAUGAGGACCAAGCCAAAUAAUCUCCCACUCCAACUUAUUUAGGAGCUCCACUAAACCUGUUUUCUAUCUGCAAAACAAGAGUUUCUCUAGGUAAUAACUUAGUCAACAUAUUAGUAUCAUUUUCAUUAGUGUGAACCUUCUCAAGUGUCAAUAACUUGGAAUCCAAAACAUCUCGAAUCCAAUGAUACCUCAUAUCAAUAUUCUUGGUUCGAAAGUGAAAUGUAGAAUUCUUACAUAAAUGAAGAACUUUGACUGUCACAAUGAUAAUUGUACUUCUCUUACUUGAUACCCAACUCUUGAAGGAAUUUUUGCAAUUAAGAGUCUCCUUGCAUGCUUUAGUGGCUGCGAUAUCCUCUAUCUCCGUACUGAAAAUGGUGAUACAAUUCUGUAAUUUGUUUUGCCAUAACACUGCUCCCCUUAUAAAAAUUAUCAAGUACCCAGAUGUAGAUAUCCUAUUGUCAAGAUCACCUACUAUAUCUGCAUCUGUGUACCCAUUAUUGAAACACAAACACAAUUUUGAAAGUUCUCUUGAGAUACCUAAGGAUCUAUUUGACAGCAUUGCAAUGCUCUUUACUAGGAUUGGAAAUAUACUGGCUGACGACUCCUGCUACAUGAGCAAUAUUUGGUCUAAUAUAAACUAUAGCAUACAUCAAACUACCAACAAUCAGCUCAAAAGGAACCUUUGUCAUGUCUUCUUUGUUUUUCUCACUUGUAAGACACUACUUGAUACUCAAUUUGAAUUAACCCACAAGUGAAGUAACUUUCUUAACUUUGCUCAUGUUAAACCUGUCAACCACCUUCUCAAUGUAAUUUUUUUGAGACAACCAAAGUUUCUCAUUUUACUUGUCCCAAAAGAUUUUCAUCCCAAAAAUCUGUCUAUUCAGACACAAAUCCUUCAUUGCUUAGAAUUUAUUUAACUCCAUUUUCAACCUGUCAAUUUUCAUAGCAACAUGGCAAUAAUCAACAUGCCAUCAAUAUACAACAAGGGAAUUAUAAAAUCACCAUUAGAAAAAUUUUUUACAUAGACACAAUGAUCAGAUAUAGUCCUAUGGUACUUAUGGUCUGCCAUGAAGGAGUCAAAUUUUUUGUAUGCUGCCUAGAUGCCUAUUUCAAUCCAUACAAGUUCCUUCUAAGAUGGCAUACAUGGUUCUCUUUGCCAUUUAUUUUUAUCCCUUCUGUUGGUUCCAUGUAAAUUUCUUCUUCCAAACAUCAAGUUGCUCAAUCUUUAGAUUCAAACUAUCUGCAAUUCCAAGGACAAUCCAAUUGAGGACUUAUUUGCCAUAGGAAAGAAAAUUUCUUUAAAGUCUACUCCUUUCUUUUGACUAAAUCCCUUCACAACCAAUCUUACCUUAUAUUUUGGCCAUGAGUUGUGCUAUUGAGUUUUCAACCUGUAGACAAAUUUGUUUUUUAGUGCUCUUUUGCCCUUAAACAGUUUCACCAAGUCAUAGGUGUGAUUCUCAUGUAAGGACAUGAUCUCCUCUUGCAUAUCUUACAAUCAGUCUUCUUCUCUUUUAUGCUCUUGAGUCUCACUAUAGGACUAUGCUUCCUUUCCAGCUAUCAACACUUAUUCAUUAGAAUUAUAUAUGAUAGAAGGUCUCCUCUCUCAACUAGAUCACCUAGGCUCAUCUUGUGGUAGUAGAGUUGGCAGUUCCUCUUGCUCAAGUUCAUCAGUAGCAGUAUCAUCACCAUCAAUAUCUUCUCUCUGCUCUAUCUCAACUUCCCUAUGAUCAAAAUCAAUUGGUACUGGAACAAGAUUCGAAUAUGAAGUAGCAGGAAUAUCAUUUGAGAAUCUUGGCUUAUCAUCUUUAUCAAUGCCAUGAAUGGUUUGAUCUUUAAGGAAGACAAAAUCUCUACUUUUGAUCAACUUCUUUCCAAUAACAUCAUACAAUCUAUAGUCAAAAUCUUUAUGUCAAUAACCCAAGAAAAUACACUACUUUAACUUCACAUCAACUUUUGAUCUCUCAUCUUUGGGCAUAUGACCAAAUGCCCGGUAAUAUAAAACUUUCAAGUGUUUAAAGGAUGCAUCUUUCUCUAUCCAUACUCUCUCUAGGAUAUCACCAUUCAAAGGAAUUGAAUGAGAAAUAUUAAUCAAAUCAACUAUAGUGCUCAUUACCUCACCCUAGAAUGAUUUUGGCAACUUACCAUUGGAUAGCAUACAUUUGAUUGCUUAGUGAUGGAUCAUUCAUCCCCUCUACUACUUCAUUCUCUUGAGGAGUUUUUAGUAUUGUCUUCUCUAGUUUGAUCCUAUAGGACUUGUAGUAGUUUUCAAAUGGUCUCUUGUACUAACUAUCAUUGUCAGCAUGAACACACAUUAACUGCUUGCCAAUCUCUCUCUCAACUUUGCUAUAAAAGUCUUUGAACACCUUCAAAAUCUAAUCUUUGGAUUUCAAAGUAAAACACCAAACUUUUCUAGCAAAAUUAUCAAUAAAAGUUAUAAAGUAAGCAUAACCACCAAAAAUCUUAUCUUUCAUAUAGCAAACAUCAGUAUGCACCAACUCUAAUGGAUUUAAUUUUCUAGAUGAAGAAAUAUUUUGAAAUGUAACUCUGUGUUGUUUCCCAUAAAUGUAGUCAACAUAAGGUUUAGGUACAUUACCUCUAAUUUCAGGUAGAAACUGCUUGCGAACAAAUGUUUAAUUUCCUUUUCACUCAUGUAUCCAAGUUGCCUAUGCCAAAGGUUAAUGGAAGAAUCACGAACUGUAUUCACAUCUCCCUUCUCUAACUUGGGUUGCAUCAAGUAAAGGUACUUUGGUUCUUUCCUUUGGUAACAAUAAGAUUCCUUUGCUGAGCUUCCAUUUGCCUCCACUUUGCAAGCUAUGCUAGCCCUUAUCAUCAAAGUUUGCGUGGAAACAAGAUUAAAUGAAUAUCAAAACAUAUCAAGCGUUCUCAAGACCAGCUAGUAUCCUAUCGACAUCUAAAUAUAUGUCUCCAUGUCAACAAGUUUGGACGAGACCUCAUUUUCAUCCUAACAGAGCCAAAGUCUCCUUCAGUGUAGGUUGAGAAGAAAUGCCUGUGAGGGUAACAUGGUAGAAUGCAAUCGAGUCAAUUACCAAUCACUACCAUGAUAGAUAAUAUUCACAUGACUAUCAUCACAUAAUACAAACAUAUCAUUAUUGGUUGCCACAACUGCUAUAGUAUCUUUUUUUAUCUUUUUCCUGCGUCUUUUCUUCGCCCUUUUUCUCAACUUGUUCCUAUUUCAAGAUUCUGCACUCCUUCAUGUAAUGUCUCUUCUUUUUGCAAUAGUAGCAUGCAUCAUUUUUUCGUGACUUUGGAUUUGUCGUUCCUAUUGUGGGUCCUCUGCUUUUGCUUCUUCCCCUUCCUUCUUAUUUUUUCUAUCACUAGGGUUUGGGAUCCAUUCACAACGUGGUUCGUAGCCACGUGCUCUAAUCCUCUGAGCUACAGGCCCCACCUCGUCUCCACUGGAUAUGUUACCGGAGUACCCUCAAAAAAGGGACUCUUUCCCCAACCAUUUUGGGUUAAGAAGAUGUGAAAGCGCGUUUAUCUCUAUAAGAACGGUGCGUUCCGAGGUGGGAAGUGGGAGAGAAGGGAUGUCAUAAUUAGGGUUUUGAAUAAGACGACCUUUUUCUUUUUCAUUUUUUCAUUUUCAUAUAUUGAAAAAGUAAUAAGAAUGAGAGGUCUUAAGCUUUUUAUCAUCCUGGCAUCGAGCUAUUUUUCUGCAGGACCUCCCCUACAGUAUUGUCACCUCAGAUGACUUGACGUCAUCCUCACCUUCCUCCGACUUAUCACCGACAGUCUGUUCAGGGUUCCAAACUCAACGAUGGCAACUAAACACGAGGGUUGCGCUCGUUGCGGGACUUAACCCAACACCUUACGGCACGAGCUGACGACAGCCAUGCACCACUUGUGUCCGCGUUCCCGAAGGCACCCCUCUCUUUCAAGAGGGUUCGCGAUGAACUGUUGGCACCCGUCCUACAUUUUGUCUCUGGGACCGAGGAGAAAGGAGGCUCGGUGGGAAGAAGGGUGUGCCAUGAGAUUCCAACUACAUUGCAUUGCCAGAAUCCAUGUUGUAUAUUUGAAAGAUAAGAUCAGAUAAGUUUUAGAGUAUGAACUCUCGAUUCAAACAUUGAAAUUCUUUGAUAGUCAAGAAAAGUCUGGCUUACUCCCUUUUCUUUUUCUCAUUUUUAAACCUUUUCAGUAAAAAAAAAAAAAAGCCCUAACCCUAUAGGUUAUUAAAUAGGGCCCUCGCAAUAUCUAAUUGUGGAUGUGAAAAAAUUUUUGGUUAGUGAAAAACUCUUAUUCCAAAUGAAUUUCUGAAAAUUCUUUUCUAUUUCCAUAAAGAACCUCAUUUCUUGGUAUCCAAAUAGUACAUGUGUUAGAAAAAUGGAGGAUCUAUUCUCUUUUUUUUUUUCCAAAAAAUUAUCUUGAAUGAAGCGAUUCCCACCAAAAAAAAGUUCACUUAUAUGUACACCUACCAAUUCGACAUAAAUUUCAAGAUAUUUCAUCGAAUCAUAUGAUGAAGAAAUUUUAUUUGUCUUGUUCCCUGAACUAAAUGAAACUUUUUUUUCGAAAAUUUAUGAAUCCCAUUACUAAAUACUAAAUUUAGUAUUUAGUAAUUUCCUUUUUUUUAGUAUGAGAUAAGGGUAUCUCAUCUUAAUAAUGAAUGGA
rnacentral:lncRNA from 1 species